ACCAUCAUCCAUCCUUCACACACCUAGAGCACAAAUCAGCAAAUCCAAGUACGUAGUAGUUAACGCAAAUCGACCAUGAAGACCUUAAUCAUCCUGACGAUCCUUGCGAUGGCAAUAACCAUCAGCACCGCCAAUAUGCAGGUCGACCCUAGCGGCCAAAUACAAUGGUCACAACAACAACUAGUCCCCCAGCCCCAAGAGCCAUUAUCCUAGCAACCACAACAAGCAUUUCCCCAACCCCAACAAACAUUCCCCCAUCAACCACAACAACAAGUUCCCCAGCCUCAGCAACCACAACAACCAUUUCUCCAGCCCCAACAAGCAUUCCCCCAACAACCACAACAACCAUUCCCCCAGACUCAACAACCACAACAACCAUUUUCCCAGCAACCACAACAACCAUUUCCCCAGACUCAACAGCCACAACAACCAUUUCCCCAGCAACCACAACAACUAUUCCCCCAGACUCAACAACCACAACAACCAUUUCCCCAGCAACCACAACAACCAUUCCCCCAGACUCAACAACCACAACAACCAUUUCCCCAGUUCCAGCAACCACAACAACCUUUUCCCCAGCCCCAACAACAAUUCCCGCAGCCCCAACAACCGCAACGAUCAUUCCCCCAGCAACAAAGACCGUCCUUUCAGCCAUCUCUACAACAACGGUUGAACCCAUAAAAGAAUAUCCUCUUGCAACAAUGCAAACCUGCAUCAUUGGUGUCAUCCCUUUGGUCGAUAAUCUGGCCACAAAAUGAUUGCCAAGUGAUGCAGCAACAAUGCUGCCAAGAACUAGCACAAAUUCCUCAGCAGCUCCAGUGUGCAGCCAUCCAUAGCGUCGUGCAUUCCAUCAUCAUGCAGCAACAAGAACAAGAACAAGAACAACAACAACAACAACAACAACAACAACAGCAAGGCAUGCGUAUCUUUUUUCCACUAUCUCGACAACAACAUGUGGGUCAAGGUACUCUCGUCCAAGGCCAGGGCAUCAUCCAACCUCAACAACCAGCUCAAUUGGAGGCGAUCAGGUCAUUGGUGUUGCAAACUCUUCCAACCAUCUGCAAUGUGUAUGUCCCACCUGAGUGCUCCAACAUCAGGGCACCAUUUGCCAGCAUAGUCGCGGGGAUUGGUGGCCAAUGAAAAAAGCAAGAGCUAUACUAAUAGAUAGAUGGAUCCUCGUUGCUUAGCAGAUGCACCAAUCGAUGUAACGAUGACAAAUAAAGUGGCACGUACCAUCAUGUGUGACCCCGACCAGUGCUAGUUCAAGCUUGGGAAUAAAAGACAAACAAAGUUCUUGUUUGCCAGCAUUGAUUGUCAUUGUUCCAUUCACUGUGUAUUUAGUUGUUCAUCCCUAACCGCAGUUCUAGGCUUACACAUCAAUGGCUAUUUGCUCGUGCCGGCAGGUUCCUAUGUAAUCUACCGACUAAUGGUCGGCCUAUUGACCCAGUUUAUAGGCCGAUUGAUAUAUUAAUUGCUGCUCCCAAACUGACCGACCAGCUAUUAGUUACCAUUUUGCUGAACAUUGCACACAAUAAUAACUCAACAUAUUUUAAUGUCUAGAAGUAAAAGGGCCAUUUUAGCAGCAAAACAAGCGCCUGAUUAGGAACCAUCCAGCACUUUAAAUGUUCACCUAGAUAUUUCUACGUUGAUGCAAUUUUGAGAUUGGUGGCACCGAAACAUUCCUCAAAGCAAUUCUUUAUGGGACUCCAAAGAGGUGAAAAUAAAGUAAAGUUGCCACAUGGUAAAAUAUAAAUCAUGCGGCGAGCAAGAGCAAAUAUUGAGUCAUGAUAGCAAGCGCCAAACAUGCCAUUAAACUCUUCAUAUGGUUCCGUGCAGAGAAGGGGGAAAAUUGUUGGGGAACGUAGUCAUUUCAAAAAAAAUCCUACGCACACGCAAGAUCAUGGUGAUGCAUAGCAAUGAGAGGGGAGAGCAUCGUCCACCUACCCUCGUAGACCGUAAGCGGAAGCGUUAUGACAACGCGGUUGAUGUAGUCGUACAUCUAUAUGAUCGACCGAUCCUAGUACCGAACGUACGGCACCUCCGCAAUCUGCACACGUUCAGCUCGGUGACGUCCCAUGAACUCACGAUCGAGUAGAUCUUCAAGGGAGAGUUCCGUCAGCACGACGGCGUGAUGACGGUGUUGAUGAAGCUACCGACGCAGGGCUUCGCUUAUGCACUACUAUGAUAUGACCGAGGUGGAUUAUGGUGGAGGGGGCACCGCACACGGCUAAAGAUCAAUGAUCAACUUGUGUGUCUUGGGGUGCCCCCUGCCCCCGUAUAUAAAGGAGAAAGGGGGGAGGCGGCCGGCCAAGGAGGAGGGCGCGCCAAGGGGGGAGUCCUACUUAGGACUCCUCUUUCCUAUUAGGAGUAGGAGAAGGGGGAAAGGAAGGAGAGGAGGAGAAGGAAGGACGGGGCACCGCCCCUUCCCCUAGUCCAAUUCAGACUAGGCUUGGGGGGGGGGGCGGCCCAGCCCUAGCCAGCCCCUCUCUCUCCCUCUCUCUCCCUGAAGCCCAUUAACGCCCAUAAGAUCCCCGGGGGGUUCCGGUAACCUCUCGGUACUGUGGUAUUUAUCCGGUGUCCGAAUAUAACCUUCCAAUAUAUCAAUCUUUAUGUCUCGACCAUUUUAAGACUCCUCGUCAUGUCCGUGAUCAUAUCUGGGACUCCGAACUACCUUCGGUACAUCAAAACACAUAAACUCAUAAUACCGAUCGUCACCGAACGUUAAGCGUGCGGACCCUAUGGGUCCGAGAACUAUGUAGACAUGACCGAGACACGUCUCCGGGUUUAACCAAUAGCGGAACCUGGAUGCUCAUAUUGGCUCCUACAUAUGUUGGGGAACGUUGCAUAAAAUAAACUUUUUCCUAUGUUCACCAAGAUCAAUCUAUGAGUUCAUCUAGCAACGAGAGAGGGGAGUGCAUCUACAUACCCUUGUAGAUCACGAGCGGAAGCGUUCAAGAGAACGGGGUUGAGGGAGUCGUACUCGUCGUGAUCCAAAUCACCGGAGAUCCUAGCGCCGAACGAAUGGCACCUCCGCGUUCAACACACGUACGGUUAGCGUGACGUCUCCUCCUUCUUGAUCCAGCAAGGGGGAAGGAGAGGUUGAUGAAGAUCCAGCAGCACGACGACGCGGUGGAGGAUGCAGCAGAGUUCCGGCAGGGCUUCGCCAAGCGACUACGGGAGGAGGAGGUGUAGCAAGGGGGGAGGGAGGCGCCAAGACUUCAGGGUGCAGCUGCCCUCCCCUCCCCCUCCUUUAUAUAGGCCCCCUGGAGGGUGGCGCCGGCCCUGGAGAUGGGAUCUCCCAAGGGGGCGGCGGCUAGGGGGGUGGAGUGCCCCCCAAGGCAAGUGGAGGCGCCCCCCCCCCCCACCCUAGGGUUUCCAACCCUAGGCGCAGGGGGGCCCAAGGGGGUCGCACCAGCCCACCAGGGGCUGGUCCCCUCCCCACUUCAGCCCACGGGGCCCUCCGGGAUAGGUGGCCCCACCCGGUGGACCCCCGGGACCCUUCCGGUGGUCCCGGUACAAUACCGGUGACCCCCGAAACUCUCCCGAUCACCGAAACUGCACUUCCUAUAUAUAAUUCUUUAUCUUCGGACCAUUCCGGAACUCCUCGUGACGUCCGGGAUCUCAUCCGGGACUCCGAACAACUUUCGGUUUGCUGCAUACUCAUAUCUCUACAACCCUAGUGUCACCGAACCUUAAGUGUGUAGACCCUACGGGUUCGGGAGACACAUAGACAUGACCUAGAUGGCUCUCCGGUCAAUAACCAACAGCGGGAUCUGGAUACCCAUGUUGGCUCCCACAUGCUCCUCGAUGAUCUCAUCGGAUGAACCAUGAUGUUGAGGAUUCAAGCAACCCCGUAUUCAAUUCCCUUUGUCAAUCGGUAUUUUACUUGCCUGAGAUUCGAUCAUCGGUAUCCCAAUACCUCGUUCAAUCUCGUUACCGGCAAGUCACUUUACUCGUACCGUAAUGCAUGAUCCUGUGACCAGACACUUGGUCACUUUGAGCUCAUUAUGAUGAUGCACUACCGAGUGGGCCCAGAGAUACCUCUCCGUCAUACGGAGUGACAAAUCCCAGUCUCGAUCCGUGUCAACCCAACAGACACUUUCAGAGAUACCUGUAGUGCACCUUUAUAGUCACCCAGUUACGUUGUGACGUUUGGUACACCCAAAGCACUCCUACGGUAUCCGGGAGUUACACGAUCUCAUGGUCUAAGGAGAAGAUACUUGACAUUGGAAAAGCUCUAGCAAACGAACUACACGAUCUUGUGCUAUGCUUAUGAUUGGGUCUUGUCCAUCACAUCAUUCUCCUAAUGAUGUGAUCCCGUUAUCAAUGACAUCUAAUGUCCAUAGUCAGGAAACCAUGACUAUCUAUUGAUCAACGAGCUAGUCAACUAGAUGCUCACUAGGGACAUAUUAUGGUCUAUGUAUUCACACGUGUAUUACGAUUUCCGGAUAAUACAAUUAUAGCAUGAAUAAAGACAAUUAUCAUGAACAAGGAAAUAUAAUAAUGAUCCUUUUAUUAUUGCCUCUAGGGCAUAUUUCCAAAAGUCUCCCACUUGCACUAGAGUCAAUAAUCUACUUACAUUGUGAUGAAUCGAACACCCAUAGAGUUCUGGUGUUCAUCAUGUUUUGCUUGCGGAAGAGGUUUAGUCAACGGAUCUGCGACAUUCAGAUCCAUAUGUACUUUGCAAAUAUCUAUGUCUCCAUCUUGAACAGUUUCACGGAUGGAGUUGAAACGAUGCUUGACGUGCCUGGUCUUCUUGUGAAACCUGGGCUCCUUGGCAAGGGCAAUAGCUCCAGUGUUGUCACAGAAGAGAGUGAUUGGCCCCGACGCAUUGGGUAUGACUCCUAGGUCGGUGAUGAACUCCUUCAUCCAUAUUGAUUCAUGCGCUGCCUCCGAGGCUGCCAUGUACUCCGCUUCACAUGUAGAUCCCGCCACGACGCUCUGCUUGCAACUGCACCAGCUUACUGCUCCACGAUUCACCAUAUACACGUAUCCGGUUUGUGACUUAGAGUCAUCCACAUCUGUGUCGAAGCUAGCAUCGACGUAACCCUUUAUGACGAGCUCUUCGUCACCUCCAUAAACAAGAAACAUGUCCUUUAUCCUUUUCAGGUACUUCAGGAUAUUCUUGACCGCUAUCCAGUGUUCCUUGCCGGGAUUACUUUGGUACCUUCCUACCAAACUUACGGCAAGGUUUACAUCAGGUCUGGUGCACAGCAUGGCAUACAUAAUAGAUCCUAUGGCUGAGGCAUAGGGGAUGACACUCAUCUCUUCUUUAUCUUCUGCCGUGGUCGGGCAUUGAGCCGAGCUCAACUUCACACCUUGCAAUACAGGCAAGAACCCUUUCUUGGACUGAUCCAUUUUGAACUUCUUCAAUAUCUUAUCAAGGUAUGUGCUUUGUGAAAGACCUAUGAGGCGUCUCGAUCUACCCCUAUAGAUCUUGAUGCCUAAUAUGUAAGCAGCUUCUCCAAGGUCCUUCUUUGAAAAACACUUAUUCAAGUAGGCCUUAAUGCUGUCCAAAAGUUCUAUAUCAUUUCCCAUCAAAAGUAUGUCAUCUACAUAUAAUAUGAGAAAUGCUACAAAGCUCCCACUCACUUCCUUGUAAACGCAGGCUUCUCCAUAAGUCUGCAUAAACCCAAACGCUUUGAUCAUCUCAUCAAAGCGAAUGUUCCAACUCCGAGAUGCUUGCACCAGCCCAUAAAUGGAUCGCUGGAGCUUUCAUACCUUGUUAGCAUUCUUAGGAUCGACAAAACCCUCCGGCUGCAUCAUAUACAGUUCUUCCUUAAGAUGUCCGUUAAGGAAUGCCGUUUUGACGUCCAUCUUCCAUAUCUCAUAAUCAUAGUAUGCGGCAAUUGCUAACAUGAUUCGGACGGACUUCAGCUUCGCUACGGGAGAGAAAGUCUCAUCAUAGUCAACCCCUUGAACUUGUCGAUAACCCUUAGCGACAAGUCAAGCUUUAUAGAUGGUAACAUUACCAUCCGCGUCUGUCUUCUUCUUAAAGAUCCAUUUGUUUUCUAUCGCUCACCGAUCAUCGGGCAAGUCUGUCAAAGUCCAUACUUUGUUUUCAUCCAUGGAUUCUAUCUCCGAUUGCAUGGCUUCAAGCCAUUUGUUGGAAUCUGGGCCUGCCAUCGCUUCUUCAUAGUUCGAAGGUUCACCGUUGUCUAACAACAUGAUUUCCAGGACAGGGUUGCCAUACCACUUUGGUGUGGAACAUGUCCUUGUGGACCUAUGAAGUUCAGUAGCAACUUGAUCCGAAGUACUUUGAUCAUCAUCAUUAAUUUCCUCUCCAGUCGGUGUAGGCACCACAGCAACAUUUUCCUGAGCUGCACUACUUUCCGGUUCAAGAGGUAGUACUUCAUCGAGUUCUACUUUCCUCCCACUUACUCCUUUCGAGAGAAACUCUUUUUCCAGAAAGGAUCCGUUCUUGGCAACAAAGAUCUUGCCCUCGGAUCUUAAGUAGAAGGUAUACCCAAUGGUUUCCUUAGGGUAUCCUAUGAAGACGCAUUUUUCCGACUUGGGUUCGAGCUUUUCAGGUUGAAGUUUCUUGACAUAAGCAUCGCAUCCCCAAACUUUUAGAAACGACAGCUUAGGUUUCUUCCCAAACCAUAAUUCAUACGGUGUCGUCUCAACGGAUUAAGACGGAGCCCUGUUUAAAGUGAAUGUAGCUGUCUCUAGAGCGUAUCCCCAAAAUGAUAACAGUAAAUCGGUAAGAGACAUCAUAGAUCGCACCAUAUCCAAUAGAGUGCGAUUACGAUGUUCGGACACACCGUUACGCUGAGGUGUUCCAGGCGGCGUGAGUUGUGGAAUGAUUCCACAUUUCCUUAAGUGCGUACCAAAUUCGUGACUUAAAUAUUCUCCUCCACGAUCUGAUCGUAGGAACUUUAUCUUUCGGUCACGUUGAUUCUCUACCUCAUUCUGAAAUUCCUUAAACUUUUCAAAGGUCUCAGACUUGUGUUUCAUCAAGUAGACAUACCCAUAUCUACUCAAGUCAUCAGUGAGAGUGAAAACAUAAUGAUAUCCUCCGCGAGCCUCAACGCUCAUUGGACCACACACAUCAGUAUGUAUGAUUUCCAAUAAGUUGGUUGCUCGCUCCAUUGUUCUGGAGAACAGAGUCUUGGUCAUUUUGCCCAUGAGGCAUGGUUCGCAUGUGUCAAAUGAUUCAUAAUCGAGAGACUCUAAAAGUCCAUCAUCAUGGAGCUUCUUCAUGCGCUUGACACCAAUGUGACCAAGGUGGCAGUGCCACACGUAUGUGGGACUAUCGUUACCAACUUUACAUCUUUUGGUAUUCACACUAUGAAUAUGUGUAACAUUACGUUCGAGAUUCAUUAAGAAUAAACCAUUGACCAUCGGGGCAUGACCAUAAAAUAUAUCUCUCAUAUAAAUAGAACAACCAUUAUUCUCGGAUUUAAAUGAGUAGCCAUCUCGUAUUAAACGAGAUCCAGAUACAAUGUUCAUGCUCAAACUUGGCACUAAAUAACAAUUAUUGAGGUUUAAAACUAAUCACGUGGGUAAAUGUAGAGGCAGCGUGCCGACGGCGAUCACAUCGACCUUGGAACCAUUCCCGACGCGCAUCGUCACCUCGUCCUUCGCCAGUCUCCGCUUAUUCCACAGCUCCUACUAUGAGUUACAAAUAUGAGCAAUGGCACCGGUAUCAAAUACCCAGGAGUUACUAUGAGUACUGGUAAGGUACACAUCAAUUACAUGUAUAUCACAUAUACCUUUAGUGUUUUCGGCCUUCUUGUCCGCUAAGUAUUUGGGGCAGUUCCGCUUCCAGUGACCCUUCCCUUUGCAAUAAAAGCACUCAGUCUCAGGCUUGGGUCCAUUCUUUGACUUCUUCCCGGCAACUGGCCUACCGGGUGCGGCAACAUCCUUGUCGUCCUUCUUGAAGUUCUUCUUACCCUUCCCUUCUUGAACUUGGUGGUUUUAUUGACCAUCAACACUUGAUGUUCUUUCUUGAUUUCUACUUCUGUUGACUUUAGCAUUGAAAAUACUUCAGGAAUAGUUUUCACCAUCCCCUGCAUAUUGUAGUUCAUCACAAAGCUCUUGUAGCUUGGUGGGAGCGACUGAAGGAUUCUGUCAGUGACCGCCUUGUCCGGGAGGUUGAUGUCCAGCUGGGACAGGCAGUUGUGCAACCCAGACAUUUUGAGUAUGUGCUCACUGACAGAACUAUUUUCCUCCAUCUUACAACUAUAGAACAUGUCGGAGACUUCAUAUCUUUCGACCCGGGCAUGAGCUUGGAAAACCAGUUUCAGCUCCUUGAACAUCUCAUAUGCUCCGUGUUGGUCAAAAUGCUUUUGGAUCCUCGGUUCUAAGCUGUAAAGCAUGCCGCACUGAACGAGGGAGUAAUCAUCAGCACGUGACUGCCAAGCGUUCAUAAUGUCUUGGUUCUCUGGGAUGGGUGCAUCACCUAGUGGUCCUUCUAGGACAUAUGCUUUCUUAGCAGCUAUGAGGAUGAUCCUCAGGUUCUGGACCUAGUCCGUAUAGUUGCUUCCAUCAUCUUUCAGCUUGCUUUCUCUAGGAACGCGUUGAAGUUCAUGUUGACAUGAGCGUUGGCCAUUUGAUCUACAAGACAUUUUUGCAAAGAUUUUAGACUAAGUUCAUGAUAAUUAAGUUCAUCUAAUCAAAUUAUUUAAUGAACUCCCACUCAGAUUUGACAUCCCUCUAGUCAUCUAAGUGUUACACGAUCCGAGUCGACUAGGCCGUGUUCGAUCAUCACGUGAGACAGACUAGUCAUCAUCGGUGAACAUCUCGAUGUUGAUCGUAUCUUCCAUACGACUCAUGUUCGACCUUUCGGUCUCUGUGUUCCGAGGCCAUGUCUGUACAUGCUAGGCUCGUCAAGUUUAACCUAAGUGUUUUGCAUGUGUAAAACUGUCUUACACCCGUUGUAUGUGAACGUAGGAAUCUAUCACACCGGAUCAUCACGUGGUGCUUCGAAAUGACGAACUUUAGCAACGACGCACAGUUAGGGAGAACACUUUCUUGAAAUUAUUAUAAGGGAUCAUCUUAUUUACUACCGUCGUUCUAAGUAAACAAGAUGCAUAAACAUAAUAAACAUCACAUGCAAUUAUAUAGUAGUGACAUGAUAUGGCCAAUAUCAUAUAGCUCCUUUGAUCUCAAUCUUCGGGGCUCCAUGAUCAUCUUUGUCACCGGCAUGACACCAUGAUCUCCAUCAUCAUGAUCUCCAUCAUCGUGUCUCCAUGAAGUUGCUCGCCAACUAUUACUUCUACCACUAUGGCUAACGGUUUAGCAAUAAAGUAAAGUAAUUACAUGGCGUUAAAUCAUUGACACACAGGUCAUACAAUAAUUAAGACAACUCCUAUGGAUCCUGCCGGUUGUCAUAUUCAUCGACAUGCAAGUCGUGAUUCCUAUUACAAGAACAUGAUCUCAUACAUCACAAUAUAUCAUUCAUCAUUCAUCACAACUUUUGGCCAUAUCACAUCACAAGGCAAUUGCUGCAAAAACAAGUUAGACGUCCUCUAAUAGUUGUUGCAUCUUUUACGUCGCUGCAAUAGGGUUCUAGCAAGAACGUUUUCUUACCUACGAAAAAGCCACAACGUGAUUUGUCAACUUCUAUUUACCCUUCAUAAGGACCCUUUUCAUCGAAUCCGCUCCAACUAAAGUGGGAGAAACAGACACCCGCUAGCCACCUUAUGCAAGUAGUGCAUGUCAGUCGGUGAAACCUGUCUCAUGUAAGCGUACGUGUAAGGUCGGUCCGGGCCGCUUCAUCCCACAAUACCCUGAAGCAAAAUAAGACUAGUAGCGGUAAGAAAGUUGACAACAUCUACGCCCACAACAGAUUUGUGUUCUACUCGUGCAAUAGAGAACUACGCAUAGACCUAGCUCAUGAAGCCACUGUUGGGGAACGUUGCAUAAAAUAAAAAAUUUCCAACGUUCACCAAGAUCAAUCUAUGAGUUCAUCUAGCAACAAGAGAGGGAGUGCAUCUACAUACCCUUGUAGAUCGCGAGUGGAAGCGUACAAGAGAAUGGGGUUGAGGGAGUCAUACUCGUCGUGAUCCAAAUCACCGGAGAUUCUAGCGCCGAACGGACGGCACCUCCGCGUUCAACACACGUAUGGUCAGCGUGACGUCUCCUCCUUCUUUAUCCAGCAAGGGGAAAGGAGAGGUUGAUGAAGAUCCGGCAACACGACGGCGUGGUGGUGGAUGCAGCAGAGUUCCGGCAGGGCUUCGCCUAGUGACUACGGGAGGAGGAGGUGUAGAAAGGGGGGAGGGAGGCGCCAAGACUUCAGGGUGCGGCUGCCCUCCCCUCCCCCUCCUUUAUAUAGGCCCCUUGGGGGGGAGCCGGCCCUGGAGAUGGGAUAUCCAAAGGGGGCGGCGGCCAGGGGGGUGGAGUGCCCCCCAAGGCAAGUGGAGGCGCCCCCCCACCCUAGGGUUUCCAACCAUAGGCGCAGAGGGGGGCCAAGGGGGCACACCAGCCCACCAGGGGCUGGUCCCCUCCCCACUUCAGUCCACGGGGCCCUCCAGGAUAGGUGGCCCCACCCGGUGGACCCCCGGGACCCUUCCGGUGGUCCCGAUACAAUACCGGUGACCCCCGAAACUCUCCCGAUGGCCGAAACUGGACUUCCUAUAUAUAAUUUUAUCUUUGGACCAUUCCGGAACUCCUCGUGACGUCCGGGAUCUCAUCCGGGACUCCGAAAAACUUUCGGUUUGCUGCAUACUCAUAUCUCUACAACCCUAGUGUCACCGAACCUUAAGUGUGUAGACCCUACGGGUUCGGGAGACACGUAGACAUGACCGAGACGGCUCUUCGGUCAAUAACCAACAUCGGGAUCUGGAUACCCAUGUUGGCUCCCACAUGCUCCUCGAUGAUCUCAUCGGAUGAACCAUGAUGUCGAGGAUUCAAGCAACCCCGUAUUCAAUUCCCUUUGUCAAUCGAUAUUUUACUUGCCCGAGAUUCGAUCGUCGGUAUCCCAAUACCUCAUUCAAUCUCGUUACCGGCAAGUCACUUUAAUCGUACCAUAAUGCAUGAUCCCGUGACCAGACACUUGGUCACUUUGAGCUCAUUAUGAUGAUGCACUACCGAGUGGGCCCAGAGAUACCUCUCUGUCAUACGGAGUGACAAAUCCCAGUCUCGAUCCGUGUCAACCCAACAGACACUUUCGGAGAUACCUAUAGUGCACCUUUAUAGUCACCCAGUUACGUUAUGACCUUUGGUACACCCAAAGCUAUCAGGACCCCGACUCAAUGCCACAUCGAUCUAGCAUGUAACACCUCAUAUCACUUUGCGGCCUCACGCACGGUAUUCCCACGGGUGUCGUCUUACCUUUGCCCGGGACCGUUUGCACCUUUUGGCACACGUAUAUGAUAGUGUUGCUGGCAUCCAUAUGGUAAGGAGCCCGGGCUGACAUGGCUAGUCGUAAACCCAAAGUGGCACAGACUUACAGGGACAGGCAUCCAUGACCCAGCAUCGAACGUGUCGGUCAUCAGCAAGUGAAUCCGGGCUUUAGCACCGGGCUAGCAGGACUCCGGUAAACCGUGCUGCAGCGGGCUAACAGGACUCCGGUAUUCAUCGCAUGACAUUUCGCCGAAGGGACAGACACAGGAACGAAGAAGGCACAUGCCGGCCAGCCUAAGUGUUCCGGAGCAGUAGCAAGCUACCAUGGCUCAGUGGAAGCACUAGGAGACAUUUCCCGGUAAGAGAGGCUACUAAGGAUAAACAACUAGAUAGUCAGAUCCCACACAUACCAAGCAUUUCAAUCAUACACACAAUAUGCUCGAUAUGUGCAAAUACAACAAGGCAUCACAACAUGACUCUACAACACAAGUACUUUAUUUAAAGGCUCAGAGAGCCAUACAUAGUAUACACACAAGUACGGGUCACAUGACCCACAUUCAAGUAAUACAAGCAUACAAGCCAACAGCGGAAGUAACUUGUCUGAGUAGAGACAACUAGUAAAAUAAAAGAGGCCUGGGUAAGCCUAGCUAUACUACAUGGUCCUUCACAAGCUCAGGAUCACCACCUGGGCCUCAGUCUACUCAUCGAUGUCAACGUCUACGAAGAACCUGUCAGAAGGGGUUGUAGCAUCUUCUGUAAAAUGUAAAUUAGAGCAACAUGAGUACAAAGGUACUCAGCAAGACUUACAUCAGAUCCUACAUACAUGCACAUUAUCAAGAAGGGUUGGUGGGGUUAUUGCAGCAAGCCAGCUUCGACUCUUGGCUAAGCUAUCCUAUGAGACUCCAACUUGAAAUGGUUUUGCACACACGAGUCCACUACUCACCACUUCAAUACACAACCGAGGAUUCACCUCCGUCUUCCUACGGAAGAGCCAUCCUCGGCACUCACAAUUAUCUUGAGGCUUUUAGUAGUUUCCAUUUACUUGUCUAUGAACUGUUAUAGGCAACACAGAAGUCCUUUACCGCGGACACGGCUAUUCGAAUAGAUCAUUUAUAACCCUGCAGGGGUGUACUUCUUCAUACAUGUUUCCACCACUUAGCAUCUGCACACGACAUGUGCUCGGCAGACUUCAAGCGAAAGCGAAAGCCUAAACACUCAAGUCUCUAGUCCAGGUUUAUCGCCUAUUCAGGUUCCAUCCGCAGGGAGUCCGUCCGAGGUUUCCACAUACGGCCCCGAACGAUGUGUAUAGGGUUCCGUGACACCAAACAGGCGCCCGGUAUACCCGGCCACGUGCCUACCGCAUCACAGCCCACCCCUUCGAUCAGCGUUGCGCACGACCUCCAGCAUACUACAAACACCAGAAACUACUUGCAACUCCUGGACAGAGGACAAGGGUGAUUAAGAAGUCGAGCAGGGUCAUAUUUCAGGGCCCAAUGCAUGGUAGUAGCUGAACCAUGGAUCACAAACACAGAACUCAGUUCCUGAGGACGGCUUCAAUGAGACAAUCCACCAUGUACUCCUACAUGGCCUCUCAUAGCUACCUUUACCAAAUCCUGUUCACACACUUAGCUCACACUCAGUAGAAUAUGUUCACGCACCUCUGAUUCAUCCCCGAUGAAUCAGACCUGACUCAACUCUAAGCAAUAGCAGGCAUGACAAACAAACAUGAAUGAGUAGGCACAACAGGGCUCAAACAACUCCUACUCAUGCUAGUGGGUUUCAUCUAUUUACUGUGGCAAUGAUAGGUCCUGCAGAGGAUAAAGGGGUUCAGCUACCGCAGCAAGUAACAGAUGAAUCAUUGCUGUCCUAAUGCAGUAAAAGAGAGCAGGAGCGAGAGAGUAGGAUUGUAUCGAAAUGAACAAGGGGGUUUUGCUUGCCUGGCACUUCUGAAGAUAGUAUACUUCUUCAUCGGUGUCAGCGAUCACAACGUCGGUACAACGUCUACCGAGGGGGAACAACACUGGCAAACAGAGAAGAAACACGAUCAAUGCAAUGCACAAUAUGAUGCCUGCUAUGACAUGGCAAUAUGAAUGUGUUUUGGGCUAAUGCAAGCUAGAACAGAUUGAGAUGAGUCCAUUUGAACCAAAGAUUCAAAUGCAAACCCAUUUUAAGAGGUCAUAAUAGUGUAUUAACUUGUUUCACCUAAACAGCAAGGUUAAUGUGUUCUAACAUGCAUGAAACCAGUGCAGAUGGAUAGAUUGGAUUUUUUUGAUCAUUUUUCAUAUAUAAAUUAUUUCAUUCUAAGUUACGGUUAAAUUUCUAUGAAUUUUAGAAGUUUAGAGCAUUUUCUGGAAUUUCCUGUAUAAAAAUAAAUCUAGAAAAUACUUAUUGCGUCAGCAUUGCGUCACUCUGACGUCAGCAGUCAACGAGGCCGGUCCAGGUCAAACCUGACGUGUGGGGUCCACACAUCAGUGACACGGUUAACCAACAGGGUUAAUUAAAAUUAAACUAAACCUAAUCUAGUUUAGUUAAGGCCUGGGCCCACAUGUCAGAGGCUAACCUAACUAACUAAGUUAAUUACCGCUCAUUAAUCUAUCGCUUAAUUAAGCAGGGGCCUGGCCCACACGUCAAUGAGUCAGGGGGAAGUCAAACCCCGGUCAAACCCGCCGGACCUGGUCCACGGCUCGUCGCCGGCGACGACAGAGACAACGAGGCGGCUCGGGAAUGCUCUACAGGGCACCGUUUUACUCGUGGUUUGCGGCUACGGCUAGCUAGCAAUGCGGCGCAUCUAAUGGAGCGAAUGGGUGGAGCUGGGGUGGCCUGAGCCGACGGCGGCGAGCUCCAAGGCGGCGGCCGGAGUUCGGGCAAUGACGGGUUUGGCGCCACAGUGCAUGGGAGGAGGAGCUGGUGGGCGCUACGGGCUCUUGGGGGUGCACUGGGUGUAGUGACGCGCUCGGUUUGGACGGAGGUGAACUAAAAUGACGACAGCGACAAGUCUGGCACCAGUGAGGUUUCGGUCUCGACGGAAACGAGGGCUACGAUGAGCUAAUGGACAUGUGAGUAGGGGGGUCAGUAAAGGAGCUUACGGCGAGUGCAGAGGUGGCCUCGGCGUGCUCGGGGAAGCACUGGAGCGAGCGGUGCGGCGAGAGGGAUCUCCGGCGGCCGGUGACGAAGAUGAUCAAGAUGGCGUCAAUCCAGGGCCUCCGGCGAUGCGUGGCUAGACGGAGAGGACGAGGGAGGCGUGGCGAUGCUCGUGGACACGUCGGAGAGGCUCGGGGUUGGCUGCGGCUGCGGCUAUGGCGAACGGCGGCGGCGGUGGCGUUCGGUGGUGAGAGGGAGAGAGAGUAGAGGAGGGGGAGGAGCAUGGGGAGAGUGAGAGAGAGCCACAGGGGUUGCGUGUCGACGUCCAUGGCAUCCAGAGGGACGUCGGGAGGCGGUGGAAAGCUGGAGGUGGCCGAGGGGCGUGGGCGUGAAUGGCGGCCACACGCCUCUCAUCCUACUGGCGAGAGGUGGGAGAUGACUGGCAGAUGGGCCUGGUGGGCUGCUACAGUGCCAGGCCGGCCAGGUAAGCGCCAGGUAUUCUCUCUCUCUCUCUCUUUUGUUAAUGUUUUUCUAUUUUUCUGUAACUUCAGGGCUUUAUUAAAAAUGCCAGGGCAUUUCCAAAAAUCAUGAAACUAAUCAUGGCUACUGUUUAGAAUAUAUCCAACAGUAAACAUUUUAGUUUAUGAUUAUUUGAGCAUUUAAAAUAUUUUAUAGCACUUAAAUGCCCAAAUGCAAAUACUAUAGGAUUUAAUUUAGAAAUCCAGAAUGGCCUAGAAAUAUGUGCAUGACAUUUGGCAGAGGUUUUCACCUUUGACCGAAAUCAUGAACUUUUCUAAAGGGCAUUUGGGAUCACUAAAAAUAUUAUUUUUUUGAACCUAGUUGAAUUCAUUUGGUGCUAGGGUUUCAACAAUCCCCAUUUCAAGUUUCAUGAAAUUUAAACAUGAUGCAUGGAUGCAAAGUCACUAGUUACGAGCAAACUCUAGGGCUGUGAUAACUCACCCCCACUAAACAAGAAUCUCGUCUUGAGAUUCAAGACGUGAGGUAAGAAGACAAAGGGGGCACAAAACCAACACAAUCUUCAUGAUCCAGGUUGCACCUCAUAAGGUUGUUGAUUCGUUGCAUACAUUGAUCUUGACAUCCUCGCUUUUGAGAUCUUCAUCCAUGCGAUGACGACGGAAAGGAACUCUACUAGGAUUGAUCUUCUCAAAGACCGAAUUAUACAAUCUCAACUCGCGGAGUGAGAUGUUGAAACACCUUGAGUUGAGACACAAAACACAUCGAGAGGGAUGGAAGAACAAACGACGGGGUUUGAUUUGGUGGGAAACAAUUCCACGCUUAGAAAGAUGGUGGAUGGUGUCAAGGUGGCGAGGAAAUAAUUGCCAUGAUCCCGUAACGGGGCACCUUAGGGAAGGUGACUCGUAGGUUUGUUACCUUAAGUGGCAAAAGGAAUUAUUUUUGAUUCAGAGAUCAUUGAAACUCUUUAUACCAGCCUAAGGCAAUUCACAACAAUCGUUUGGCAGAGUACAAAGGGAUGGCAUACCCGGACUAGAAUGGAUGAUGUGGACUACCUUGUUGAAGACAACGUAAUGAAUGCUUUUUGCUUAUCAUCGGAGGUGGAGGGGACCCAUGGUAGGACCACUUCUAAAGAUGAUCCUGAACAACAAUUGCUGAGAAGGGCAGUCCAAGGAGGAUUGGCACAAGGCGGUGCAAGCUGGGAACGAAAUGCAAAUGUCGGGAAUGUUCCAACCAUCAUAUCUGCCUGAGAUUCAGAUUUGGUUGGUGUUAGGACAUUCCAGACUCAUCAAGUCUAGGAAGAAAAAUGAAAGUUUGCAACACAAAUCGAUGAGAUGACGUCGCGAGAUUCUCGGGAGAUAAACUACGAUAGCAAGCUCCAAAACAUGAGCUGGUUCUGCUAAACAUGUGUGAACACGCUGUCCCAGACAAACAUGACCACAUAGUAGUCUUAAUAUAAAACACUACCGAGUUCAGGUGGGGAACCAUCAUUGCGGAUAACGAAGUCCUUGCAUAAGUCAUGAUUCUUAAGAAGGAGCUUCUUCUCCCUGAACAAAUCAAUCAGUGGCUUGGUGUGCUAGGGAUACGUAAGCAAUGAAGAUGAUCAGUCUAUCAGACCAUAGAAUACUUCGCACAUGCAUGACUGACUUGGGAUGAUCCCGGAGGGAACAAAACUAACUUUCUCAAAUUCACGGCGGCAACUUGCACCUAAUGCGCGUGAACUUGGAGAGAGUCACUUCUUACAUCCAAGCAUAUUCUUCAUGAACGAAACACGAAGAUAAUGCUUAUAUAGUUUCCAAUACUAGCUGAAGGUUCAACACGAAUCAUGGAAGAGAUAAAAAUGUUGCUGAUGGGCUCAACAACAAUUCAUCUAGGUUUCCAUAUAAGUGGAAUUCCACAAUUAUGUGAACAAGGCGAUAGCAUCGGUCAGACCAAAGGAUAUAACGGUGUAUGCCCGAGGAAACAACCACGGGUAAGACAACAUUACGAAUAUCGUUGGUUCUGAUUUGACUUGACAAUAGCCCAUGCUCAAAUCAGAGAUUGGUUACGAUAAUAGAUCCAACAACUGAUCACAGGGACCAAUCGAUGAAGAUAUCAUCUUUCUUCAACAUACAUACAAGAUAUCACUUAACAUGAACUAAGUCGGACAAGCUUUUAUCUUCCAACUCUCCAAGUUGAUGUAUAGCUUAACCAACUAGCUCAGGGGUAUCCAACACGGAUUCUUGGAGAAAGGGUGGUUUACAAGAAUAAACCAACUUGAUCAUGAACUCAACAUAGCGGUCAGGUGACGACCUAGUGAUACUUCCGAGAAGAUAAUCAGAAAAUCAGGAACCACCGGUAUGUUACUAAGCUCGAGAGAAAUCUUGCUUUUCAGGGCAAGACGAUAUGAUCAAAUGAGCAAGGGAUUGACAAAAUCCUAACUCAACGACCGAAGAGUGCACCGGAAAUAGGGACUAGAUAGCACAAUCAACCUUAGGGUGACGAUUCAAUAAUCAACACGCUAAGAAUGAGGUUAGCGUCCAUUUAACUACCAAGCAACGGAGUUGCUAGCAGUAUUGAUUUCACACACCAUGAUUCACUUGUCAGUAUUCCGGUUGCAACAACACGGAACCGAGGAGCGAAUGAUGAUGGCAAGAAGUAUCACUACUUCAAGAAUCCAUAAGGGAAGGUGCAAUUCUCAUGACGUUCCUGACAUAAAGUGGGUAAUACUUCAGGGUAGAACAGAACAAAAGCUGAAUUAGUAUUUGAUCUGCGAUUUACAACUGCUUUGACCCGAUCCUGGAUAUGGAUGAGGUACGGGAGUUUGUUUCUCCUAGUCAUUCUAGAAUAGAAUGGCUUGACAUACCACUAGAGUAAUAGGCAUCAAUGAACGAAUGCACGCAUACUCUUGACUAUCAAUUGAUAGAUGGGGUCGGAAUACAACUAAGGAGGGACAACCCAAACGAACUUACGAUCUUCUGAGUUGUGGAUGCACAUAUUAGUAUGUCGAGCAAAGAUCAACAUUUUUCUUCCGGAUAACCCAUGCGGAGAAGGUAGGACUGGCAGAUUCACAAUAUAGAAUCGAGAACGCAUCAAGAGCACUCUGGUUGUGAUCUUUCGGUUAAACGAGGAACUUCUGCCAUAAGUAGUUCAUGGUAUUUGGAAGAAGGAAAUACCACGGACCUCGAGGACUAAUGCAAAGGUUACUAAUUUCCUAAAGGAACUAGCAAACACUAUCAUCAUGAGUAAGUGGGGUGAAUCUCGGUUCAAGAACCCAGGAAUAGAAUACCUACUACUAAGUGGCAUCACGGGAUGCUUUCGAGAAUAAAGGCCAGAAUUAUCACACCGGGAACAAAUCAUGGCUAGAUUACUAGAUGAUCCCCUAGGACACCUAGGGUCAUAAUAAUAAUUCCAACAUAUAUGUCGAGGCAAUAGAAUACUUCAACUCAGCAAUUAGUGUGAUUAACCUGGCUCAAAGGAACAUCAAAACCAGAGGGAAAUGAUUUGCAAGUGCAUCAGAUUGUUUAGAAACCUGGGAUGACUCGGACAACAUAACGGCUGUAAAUGCUCAAAAGGAAUUUUGAGACAUUUUGCAAAGAGUUGCAUAGACACUCAACAAUAUCAUAUCAAGGUUCUGGGUCCAACUUAGCAACAUAAUAGGGUAGUAGAACUGAACUAGGCUUAUAAUCAUCAAACCAAUAAGGUACUACUGAUUAGUAACACGUGAACCUGAUAGAGAGAAAAGAUCCUAAUCCUUAACCCCCGGUGGAAGAAUGGACUGACUCAGAUCAGAAUGCCAUGAGGUAAAGAAGUAAAAAGAGCCUUACGUACCAUCCCACAAUCAAUUCCCCUACAUAUAACUAAAGCAUUUCUAGACUCAACAUCGACCAGUUUGGCUUGGUAAUCCUACAGGCAGUCAGGCUCUUAUACCAAAGCUGUCAGGUCCUGAACGAUGUGUACAGGGUUCCGUGACACCAAACGGGCGCCCGGUAUACCCGGCCACGUGCCUACCGCAUCACAGCCCACCCCUCCGGUCAGCGUUGCGCACGGCCUCCAGCAUACUACAAACACCAGAAACUACUUGCAACUCCUGGACAGAGGACAAGGGUGAUUAAGAAGUCGAGCGGGGUCAUAUUUCAGGGCCCAAUGCAUGGUAGUAGCUGAAUCAUGGAUCACAAACACAUAACUCAGUUCCUGAGGGCGGCUUCAAUGAGACAACCCACCAUGUACUCCUACAUGGACUCUCACCGCUACCUUUACCAAAUCGUGUUCACACACUUAGCUCACACUCAGUAGAAUAUGUUCACGCACCUCUGAUUCAUCCCCGGUGAAUCCGACUUAACUCAACUCUAAGCAAUAGCAGGCAUGACAAACAAACAUGAAUGAGUAGGCACAACAGGGCUCAAACAACUCCUACUCAUGCUAGUGGGUUUCAUCAAUUUACUAUGGCAAUGACAGGUCAUGCAGAGGAUAAAGGGGUUCAGCUACCGCAGCAAGUAAUAGAUGAAUCGUUGUUGUCCUAAUGCAGUGAAAGAGAACAGGAGCGAUAGAGUAGCAUUGUAUCGGAAUGAACAAGGGGGUUUUGCUUGCCUAGCACUUCUGAAGAUAGUAUACUUCUUCAUCGGUGUCAUCGAUCACAACAUCGGUACAACGUCUACCGAGGGGGAACAACACCGGCAAACAGAGAAGCAACAUGAUCAAUGCAAUGCACAAUAUGAUGCAUGCUAUGACAUGGCAAUAUGAAUGUGUUUUGGGCUAAUGCAAGCUAGAACAGAUUGAGAUGAGUCCAUUUGAACCAAAGAUUCAAAUGCAAACCCAUUUUAAGAGGUCAUAAUAGUGUAUUAACUUGUUUCACCUAAACAGCAAGGUUAAUGUGUUCUAACAUGCAUGAAACCAGUGCAGAUGGAUAGAUUGGAUUUGUUUGAUCAUUUUUCAUAUAUAAAUUAUUUCAUUCUGAGUUACGGUUAAAUUUCUAUGAAUUUUAGAAGUUUAGAGCAUUUUCUGGAAUUUCCUGUAUAAAAAUAAAUCCAGAAAAUACUUAUUGCGUCAGCAUUGCAUCGCUCUGACGUCAACAGUGAACGAGGCCAGUCCAGGUCAAACCUGACGUGUGGGGUCCACACGUCAGUGACACGGUUAACCAACAGGGUUAAUUAAAAUUAAACUAAACCUAAUCUAGUUUAGUUAAGGCCUGGGCCAACAUGUCAGAGGCUAACCUAACUAAGUUAAUUACAGCUAAUUAAUCUAUCGCUUAAUUAAGCAGGGGCCUGGCCCACACGUCAGUGAGUCAGGGGGAAGUCAAACCCCGGUCAAACGGGGUCAAACCCGCCGGACCUGGUCCACGGCUCAUCGCCGGCGACGACAGAGACGAUGGGGCGGCUCGUGAAUGCUCUACAGGGCACCGUUUUACUCAUGGUUUGUGGCUACGGCUAGCUAGCAAUGCGGCGCAUCUAAUUGAGCGAACGGGAGGAGCUAGGGUGUCCUGAGCCGACGGCGGCGAGCUCCAAGGCGGCGGCCGGAGUUCGGGCAACGACGGGUUCGGUGCCAUAGUGCAUGGGAGGAGGAGCCGGUGGGCGCUACGGGCUCCUGGGGGUGCACUGGGUGUAGUGACGCGCUCGGUUUGGACGGAGGCGAACUAAAAUGACGACGGCAACAAGUCCGGCGCCGGUGAGGUUUCGGUCUCGACGGAAACGAGGGCUACGAUGAGCUAAUGGACAUGUGAGUAGGGGGGUUAGUAGAGGAGCUUACGACGAGUGCAUAGGUGGCCUAGGCGUGCUCGGGGAAGCACCGGAGCGAGCGGUGCAGCGAGAGGGAUCUCCGGCAGCCGGCGACGAAGAUGAUGAAGAUGGCGUCGAUCCAGGGCCUCCGGCGAUGCGUUGCUGUGCGGAGAGGACUAGGGAGGCGUGGCGAUGCUCGUGGACACGUCGGAGAGGCUCGGAGUUGGCUGCGGCUGCGGCUAUGGCGAACGGCGGCGGCGGUGGCGUUCGGUGGUGAGAGGGAGAGAGAGUAGAGGAGGGGGAGGAGCAUGGGGAGAGUGAGAGAGAGCCACAGGGGUUGCGUGUCGACGUCCAGGGCAUCCAGAGCGACGUCGGGAGGCGGUGGAAAGCUGGAGGUGGCCGAGGCGCGUGGGCGUGAAUGGCGGCCACACGCCUCUCGUCCUACUGGCGAGAGGUGGGAGAUGACUGGCAGAUGGGCCUGGUGGGCUGCUACAGUGCCAGGCCGGCCAGGUAAGCGCCAGAUAUUCUCUCUCUCUCUUUUGUUAAUGUUUUUUUAUUUUUCUGUAACUUCAGGGCUUUAUUAAGAAUGCCAGGGCAUUUCCAAAAAUCAUGAAACUAAUCAUGGCUACUGUUUAGAAUAUAUCCAACAGUAAACAUUUUAGUUUAUGAUUAUUUGAGCAUUUAAAAUAUUUUAUAGCACUUAAAUGCCCAAAUGCAAAUACUAUAGGAUUUAAUUUAGAAAUCCAGAAUGGCCUAGAAAUAUGUGCAUGACAUUUGGCAGAGGUUUUCACCGUUGACAGAAAUCAUGAAAUUUUCUAAAGGGCAUUUGGGAUCACUGAAAAUAUAUAUUUUUUGAACCUAGUUGAAUUCAUUUGGUGCUAGGGUUUCAACAAUCCCCAUUUCAAGUUUCAUGAAAUUUAAACAUGAUGCAUGGAUGCAAAGCCACUAGUUACAAGCAAACUCUGGGGCUAUGACAAAAGCACUCCUACGGUAUCGGUAUCCGGGAGUUACACGAUCUCAUGGUCUAAGGAGAAGAUACUUGACACUGGAAAAGCUCUAGCAAACGAACUACACGAUCUUGUGCUAUGCUUAGGAUUGGGUCUUGUCCAUCACAUCAUUUUCCUAAUGAUGUGAUCCCGUUAUCAACGACAUCUAAUGUCCAUAGUCAGGAAACCAUGACUAUCUGUUGAUCAACGAGCUAGUCAACUAGAGGCUCACUAGGGACAUAUUAUGGUCUAUGUAUUCACACGUGUAUUACGAUUUCCGGAUAAUACAAUUAUAGCAUGAAUAAAGACAAUUAUCAUGAACAAGGAAAUAUAAUAAUAAUCCUUUUAUUAUUGCCUCUAGGGCAUAUUUCCAACAACAUAUUCUACGAAGAUCUUUAUCGGUCAAACCACAUAACAACAUAGGUUCUUCCCUUUGUCAUCGGUAUGUUACUUGCCUGAGAUUCGAUCGUCGGUAUCUCAAUACCUAGUUCAAUCUCGUUACCGGCAAGUAUGUUUACUCAUUCCAUAAUGCAUGAUCCCGCAACUAACUCAUUAGUCACAUUGCUUGCAAGGCUUAUAGUGAUGUGCAUUACCGAGAGGGCCCAGUGAUACCUCUCCGACAAUCGGAGUGACAAAUCCUAACCUCGAUCUAUGCCAACUCAACAAGUACCAUCGGAGACACCUGUAGAGCACCUUUAUAAUCCCCCAGUUACGUUGUGACGUUUGGUAGCACACAAAGUGUUCCUCUGGUAUUUGGGAGUUGCAUAAUCUCAUAGUCAUAGGAACACGUAUAAGUCAUGAAGAAAGCAAUAGCAACAAACUAAACGAUCAAGUGCUAAGCUAACGAAAUGGGUCAAGUCAAUCACAUCAUUCUCUAAUGAUGUGAUCCCGUUAAUCAAAUGACAACUGUCUAUGGUUAGGAAACACAACCAUCUUUGAUUCAACGAGCUAGUCAAGUAGAGGCAUACUAGUGACACUUUGUUUGUCUAUGUAUUCACACAUGUACUAAGUUUCCGGUUAGUACUAUUCUAGCAUGAAUAAUAAACAUUUAUCAUGAUAUAUGGAAAUAUAAAUAACAACUUUAUUAUUGCCUCUAGGGCAUAUUUCCUUCAAAAUUUAGAGAUGACAAACAAAGCUUAAGUAGCAUCUGUUCUACUUGAUUGUAGAAAUUUCUUUUACCUGUAGAAUAACUCGGUUGUUAUUUCUUUAAACAUGAAGUGUGAUAUUAACUUAUCUCAAUCUAGGAACACAAAGCAAAUAUUACAUGUGCUUCUAUGGACUCCAAGCAGAUGAGAAAUCAUUUUGUCUAGAAGUUCCUUAGAAGGAUAUAAUAGUUUUGACCUAAACAAAUUUACUAUUGUACUCGUGUCUUACAAAGUUAAAGCUGAAAAUCAACAUAACCAUUGGACCCUUUGAAAGACAAGUGUAGGAAAUAAAUAGUAGGAUAUAAAUUUGAGCAGAAUGUUUGAUCAAAUACUGAACAAAUAACCCAGCAAACUACUAAAACUCGUCUAUUCUACCUUAUAUGAACUGUCACGAUGAUAAAGCUAUGAUUUUUUUUGGCAAAUAAGUAUCCUAGAACUAAUACAAGUUCAAACAAAUCAGCCACAGAUCCCCGAGCCCAUCCAACCAGAUAGCUGAAACUGAAAGAAGCAUUAGCUCGAUUAGAGCACCUACAGCGGAACUUGACAAAUUUGACCCCUGAAACGCCCGCGGACACGCGUGUUAGUAGACAUAAACCAAUCUUUAAGCAGAGCACGUCCGGCAGUCGGAUGCUCCCCAAAGUGUUGGUCCAGUCGCCGGCAAGGUAGAGUAGGGCAUGGGAUACAAGGCGGCUCACGGGACUCGAGGCGCCACCGUCCCCCAUUCCCAACUCUUCUCAGUCGGAACCCGGACAGUGCCGGUGGACGUCAGAUCGAUGAUGGAUCCUUCCUGGGACGAGCCAGCAACAUCCACCACCACGUGGUUGUGCAGCCCGAACUAGUGCACAAUAUGGGGAGCCGGAAAAUACGACUCCGCCUCCGCAACGCCCACCACCGCGAGGGCUGUCGCUGCCUCCCGCACCCGCUGCAUUGCAUGGCAGGAGCGCCGAACUAUGUUUUGCAUCGGGCGACGCCCAUGGUGCGUCCAUGGCCUCAGUGCGCCAAUGGAGGGGCUGCGCGUCCGCCACCCAUUCAAACGCCAGAUGGACCGCACCACCUUUGUGUUGGAAAUAUGCCCUAGAGGAAAUAAUAAAAGGAUUAUUAUUGUAUUUCCUUGUUCAUGAUAAUUAUCUUUAUUCAUGCUAUAAUUGUAUUAUCCAGAAAUCGUAAUAGACGUGUGAAUACAUAGACCAUAAUAUGUCCCUAGUGAGCCUCUAGUUGACUAGCUCGUUGAUCAACAGAUAGUCAUGGUUUCCUGACUAUGGACAUUAGAUGUCGUUGAUAAUGGGAUCACAUCAUUAAGAUAAUGAUGUGAUGGACAAGACCCAAUCCUAAGCAUAGCACAAGAUCGUGUAGUUCGUUUGCUAGAGCUUUUCCAAUGUCAAGUAUCUUCUCCUUAGACCAUGAGAUCGUGUAACUCCCGGAUACCGUAGGAGUCCUUUGGGUGUACCAAACGUCACAACGUAACUGGGUGACUAUAAAGGUGCACUACAGGUAUCUCCGAAAGUGUUUGUUGGGUUGACACCGAUCGAGACUGGGAUUUGUCACUCCGUAUGACGGAGAGGUAUCGCUGGGCCCACUCGGUAGUGCAUCAUCAUAAUGAGCUCAAAGUGACCAAGUGUCUGGUCACGGGAUCAUGCAUUACGGUACGAGUAAAGUGAAUUGCCGGUAACGAGAUUGAACGAGGUAUUGGGAUACCGACGAUCGAAUCUCGGGCAAUUAAAAUACCGAUUGACAAAGGGAAUUGAAUACGUGGUUGCUUGAAUCCUCGACAUCGUGGUUCAUCCGAUGAGAUCAUCGAGGAGCAUGUGGGAGCCAACAUGGGUAUCCAGAUCCCGCCGUUGGUUAUUGACUGGAGAGCCGUCUCAGUCAUGUCUACGUGUCUCCCGAAUCCGUAGGGUCUACACACUUAAGGUUCGGUGACGCUAGGGUUGUAGAGAUAUGAGUAUGCAGCAAACCGAAAGUUGUUCGGAGUCCCGGAUGAGAUCCCGGACAUCACGAGGAGUUCCGAAUGGUCCGGAGAUAAAGAAUUAUAUAUAGGAAGUGCAUUUUCAGCGAUCGGGAGAGUUUCGGGGGUCACCGGUAUUGUACCGGGACCACCGGAAGGGUCCCGGGGGUCCACUGGGUGGGGCCACCUAUCCCGGAGGGCCCCGUGGGCUGAAGUGGGGAGGGGACCAGCCCAUAGUGGGCUGGUGCGACCCCCUUGCCCCACCUACGCCUAGGGUUGGAAACCCUAGGGUGGGGGGCGCCUCCACUUGCCUUGGGGGGCACUCCACCCCCCUGGCCGCCGCCCCCUUGGGAGAUCCCAUCUCCAGGGCCGGCGCCCCCCCAGGGGGCCUAUAUAAAGGAGGGGGAGGGGAGGGCAGCCGCACCCUGAAGUCUUGGCGCCUCCCUCCCCCCUUGCUACACCUCCUCCUCCCGUAGUCGCUUGGCGAAGCCCUGCCGGAACUCUGCUGUAUCCACCACCACGCCGUCGUGCUGCUGGAUCUUCAUCAACCUCUCCUUCCCCCUUGCUGGAUCAAGAAGGAGGAGACGUCACGCUGACCGUACGUGCGUUGAACGCGGAGGUGCCGUCCGUUCGACGCUAGGAUCUCUGGUGAUUUGGAUCACGACGAGUACGACUCCCUCAACCCCGUUCUCUUGAACGCUUCCGCUCGCGAUCUACAAGGGUAUGUAGAUGCACUCCCCUCUCUCGUUGCUAGAUGAACUCAUAGAUUGAUCUUGGUGAACGUAGGAAAUUUUUUAUUUUAUGCAACGUUCCCCAACAGUGGCAUCAUGAGCUAGGUCUAUGCGUAGUUCUCUAUUGCACGAGUAGAACACAAAUCUGUUGUGGGCGUAGAUGUUGUCAACUUUCUUGCCACUACUAGUCUUAUUUUGCUUCAGCGGUAUUGUGGGAUGAAGUGGCCCGGACCGACCUUACACGUACGCUUACGUGACACAGGUUCCACCGACUGACAUGCACUAGUUGCAUAAGGUGGCUAGCGGGUGUCUGUCUCUCCCACUUUAGUUGGAGCGGAUUCGAUGAAAAGGGUCCUUAUGAAGGGUAAAUAGAAGUUGACAACUCACGUUGUGGCUUUUUUGUUGGUAAGAAAACAUUCUUGCUAGAACCCUAUUGCAGCCACGUAAAAGAUGCAACAACAAUUAGAGGACGUCUAACUUGUUUUUGAAGCAAUUGCCUUGUGAUGUGAUAUGGCCAAAAGUUGUGAUGAAUGAUGAAUGAUAUAUUGUGAUGUAUGAGAUCAUGUUCUUGUAAUAGGAAUCACGACUUGCAUGUCGAUGAGUAUGAAAACCGGCAGGAGCCAUAGGAGUGGUCUUAAUUAUUGUAUGACCUGCGUGUCAAUGAUUUAACGCCAUGUAAUUACUUUACUUUAUUGCUAAACCGUUAGCCAUAGUAGUAGAAGUAAUAGUUGGCGAGCAACUUCAUGGAGGCACGAUGAUGGAGAUCAUGAUGAUGGAGAUCAUGGUGUCAUGCCGGUGACAAAGAUGAUCAUGGAGCCCCGAAGAUGGAGAUCAAAGGAGCUAUAUGAUAUUGGCCAUAUCAUGUCACUACUAUAUAAUUGCAUGUGAUGUUUAUUAUGUUUAUGCAUCUUCUUUACUUAGAACGACUGUAGUAAAUAAGAUGAUCCCUUAUAAUAAUUUCAAGAAAGUGUUCUCCCUAACUGUGCGUCGUUGCUAAAGUUCGUCGUUUCGAAGCACCACGUGAUGAUCGGGUGUGAUAGAUUCCUACGUUCACAUACAACGGGUGUAAGACAGUUUUACACAUGCAAAACACUUAGGUUAAACUUGACGAGCCUAGCAUGUAUAUACAUGGCCUCAGAACACAGAGACCGAAAGGUCGAACAUGAGUCAUAUGGAAGAUACGAUCAACAUGGAGAUGUUCACCAAUGAUGACUAGUCCGUCUCACGUGAUGAUCGGACACGUCCUAGUCGACUCGGAUCGUGUAACACUUAGAUGACUAGAGGGAUGUCAAAUCUGAGUGGGAGUUCACUAAAUUAGAUGAACUUAAUUAUCAUGAACUUAGUCUAAAAUCUUUGCAAAAAUGUCUUGUAGAUCAAAUGGCCAACGCUCAUGUCAACAUGAACUUCAACGAGUUCCUAGAGAAAACCAAGCUGAAAGAUGAUGGCAGCAACUAUAUGGACUGGGUCCAGAACCUGAGGAUCAUCCUCAUAGCUUCCAAGAAAGCAUAUGUCCUAGAAGGACCACUAGGUGAUGCACCCAUCCCAGAGAACCAAGAUGUUAUGAACGCUUGGCAGUCACGUGCUGAUGAUUACUCCCUCGUUCAGUGCGGCAUGCUUUACAGCUUAGAACCGGGUCUCCAAAAGCGUUUUGAGAAACACGGAGCAUAUGAAAUGUUCGAGGAGCUGAAAAUGGUUUUCCAAGCUCAUGCCCGGGUCGAGAGAUAUGAAGUCUCCGACAUGUUCUAUAGUUGUAAGAUGGAGGAAAAUAGUUCUGUCAGUGAGCACAUACUCAAAAUGUCUGGGUUGCACAACUGCCUAACCCAGCUGGACAUCAACCUCCCGGACGAGGCGGUCAUUGACAGAAUCCUUCAGUCGCUCCCACCAAGCUACAAGAGAUUUGUGAUGAACUACAAUAUGCAGGGGAUGGUGAAAACUAUUCCUGAAGUAUUUUCAAUACUGAAGUCUGCAGAGGUAGAAAUCAAGAAAGAACAUCAAGUGUUGAUGGUCAAUAAAACCACCAAGUUCAAGAAGGGCAAGGGUAAGAAAAACUUCAAGACGGACGGCAAGGAUGUUGCCGCACCCGGUAGGCCAGUUGCCGGGAAGAAGUCAAAGAAUGGACCCAAGCCUGAGACUGAGUGCUUUUAUUGCAAAAGGAAGGGUCACUGGAAGCGGAACUGCCCCAAAUAGUUAGCGGACAAGAAGGCCGGCAACACUAAAGGUAUAUGUGAUAUACAUGUAAUUGAUGUGUACCUUACCAGUACUCGUAGUAACUCCUGGGUAUUUGAUACCGGUGCCGUUGCUCAUAUUUGUAACUCACAGUAGGAGCUGCGGAAUAAGCGGAGACUGGCGAAGGACGAGGUGACGAUGCGCGUCGGGAAUGGUUCCAAGGUCGAUGUGAUUGCCGUCGGCACGCUGCCUCUACAUUUACCCACGGGAUUAGUUUUAAACCUCAAUAAUUGUUAUUUAGUGCCAAGUUUGAGCAUGAACAUUGUAUCUGGAUCUCGUUUAAUACGAGAUGGCUACUCAUUUAAAUCCGAGAAUAAUGGUUGUUCUAUUUAUAUGAGAGAUAUGUUUUAUGGUCAUGCCCCGAUGGUCAAUGGUUUAUUCUUAAUGAAUCUCGAACGUAAUGUUACACAUAUUCAUAGUGUGAAUACCAAAAGAUGUAAAGUUGAUAACGAUAGUCCCACAUACUUGUGGCACUGCCGCCUUGGUCAUAUUGGUGUCAAGCGCAUGAAGAAGCUCCAUGAUGAUGGACUUUUAGAGUCUGUCGAUUAUGAAUCAUUUGACACAUGCGAACCAUGCCUCAUGGGCAAAAUGACCAAGACUCCGUUCUCCGGAACAAUGGAGCGAGCAACCAACUUAUUGGAAAUCAUACAUACUGAUGUGUGUGGUCCAAUGAGCGUUGAGGCUCGCGGAGGAUAUCAUUAUGUUCUCACUCUCACUGAUGACUUGAGUAGAUAUGGGUAUGUCUACUUGAUGAAACACAAGUCUGAGACCUUUGAAAAGUUCAAGGAAUUUCAGAAUGAGGUAGAGAAUCAACAUGACCGAAAGAUAAAGUUCCUACGAUCAGAUCGUGGAGGAGAAUAUUUAAGUCACGAAUUUGGUACGCACUUAAGGAAAUGUGGAAUCAUUCCACAACUCACGCCGCCUGGAACACCUCAGCGUAACGGUGUGUCCGAAUGUCGUAAUCGCACUCUAUUGGAUAUGGUGCGAUCUAUGAUGUCUCCUACCGAUUUACUGCUAUCAUUUUGGGGAUACGCUCUAGAGACAGCUACAUUCACUUUAAACAGGGCUCCGUCUAAAUCCGUUGAGACGACACCGUAUGAAUUAUGGUUUGGGAAGAAACCUAAGCUAUCGUCUCUAAAAGUUUGGGGAUGCGAUGCUUAUGUCAAGAAACUUCAACCUGAAAAGCUCGAACCCAAGUCGGAAAAAUGCGUCUUCAUAGGAUACCCUAAGGAAACCAUUGGGUAUACCUUCUACUUAAGAUCCGAGGGCAAGAUCUUUGUAGCCAAGAACGGAUCCUUUCUGGAAAAAGAGUUUCUCUCGAAAGGAGUAAGUGGGAGGAAAGUAGAACUCGAUGAAGUAGUACCUCUUGAACCGGAAAGUAGUGGAGCUCAGGAAAAUGUUCCUGUGGUGCCUACACCGACUAGAGAGGAAAUUAAUGAUGAUGAUCACAGUACUUUGGAUCAAGUUGCUACUGAACUUCGUAGGUCCACAGGGACACAUUCCAAACCAGAGUGGUAUGGCAACCCUGUCCUGGAAAUCAUGUUUUUAGACAACGGUGAACCUUCGAACUAUGAAGAAGCGAUGGCGGGCCCAGAUUCCAACAAAUGGCUUGAAGGCAUGCAAUCCGAGAUAGAAUCCAUGUAUGAAAACAAAGUAUGGACUUUGACAGACUUGCCCGAUGAUCAGCGAGCGAUAGGAAACAAAUGGAUCUUUAAGAAGAAGACAGACGCGGAUGGUAAUGUUACCAUCUAUAAAGCUCGACUUGUCGCUAAGGGUUAUCGGCAAGUUCAAGGGGUUGACUACGAUGAAACUUUCUCUCCCGUAGCAAAGCUGAAGUCCGUCUGAAUCAUGUUAGCAAUUGUCGCAUACUAUGAUUAUGAGUUAUGGAAGAUGGACGACAAAACGGCAUUCCUUAACGGGCAUCUUAAGGAAGAACUGUAUAUGAUGCAGCCGGAGGGUUUUGUCGAUCCUAAGAAUGAUAAUAAGGUAUGCAAGCUCCAGCAAUCCAUUUAUGGGCUGGUGCAAGCAUCUCGGAGUUGGAACAUUCGCUUUGAUGAGAUUUUCAAAGCGUUUGGGUUUAUGAAGACUUAUGGAGAAGCCUGCGUUUACAAGAAAGUGAGUGGGAGCUCUGUAGCAUUUCUCAUAUUAUAUGUAGAUGACAUACUUUUGAUGGGAAAUGAUAUAAAACUUUUGGACAGCAUUAAGGCCUACUUGAAUAAGUGUUUUUCAAUGAAGGACCUUGGAGAAGCUGCUUACAUAUUAGGCAUCAAGAUCUAUAGGGAUAGAUCGAGACGCCUCAUAGGUCUUUCACAAAGCACAUACCUUAAUAAAAUAUUGAAGAAGUUUAAAAUGGAUCAGUCCAAGAAAGGGUUCUUGCCUGUAUUGCAAGGUGUGAAGUUGAGCUUGGCUCAAUGCCCGACCACGGCAGAAGAUAAAGAAGAGAUGAGUGUCAUCCCCUAUGCCUCAACCAUAGGAUCUAUUAUGUAUGCCAUGUUGUGCACCAGACCUGAUGUAAACCUUGCCGUAAGUUUGGUAGGAAGGUACCAAAGUAAUCCCGGCAAGGAACACUGGACAGCGGUCAAGAAUAUCCCGAAGUACCACAAAAGGACAAAGGACAUGUUUCUCGUUUAUGGAGGUGACAAAGAGCUCGUCGUAAAGGGUUACGUCGAUGCUAGCUUCGACACAGAUCUGGAUGACUCUAAGUCACAAACCGGAUACGUGUAUAUGUUGAAUCGUGGAGCAGUAAGCUGGUGCAGUUGCAAGCAGAGCGUCGUGGCGGGAUCUACAUGUGAAGCGGAGUACAUGGCAGCCUCGGAGGUAGCGCAUGAAGCAAUAUGGAUGAAGGAGUUCAUCACCGACCUAGGAGUCAUACCCAAUGCGUCGGGGCCAAUCACUCUCUUCUGUGACAACACUGGAGCUAUUGCCCUUGCCAAGGAGCCCAGGUUUCACAAGAAGACCAGGCACAUCAAGCGUCGUUUCAACUCCAUUCGUGAAAAUGUUCAAGAUGGAUACAUAGAUAUUUGCAAAGUACAUACGGAUCUGAAUAUCGCAGAUCCGUUGACUAAACCUCUUCUGCGAGCAAAACAUGAUCAACACCAGAACUCUAUGGGUGUUCGAUUCAUCACAAUGUAACUAGAUUAUUGACUAUAGUGCAAGUGGGAGACUGUUGGAAAUAUGCCCUAGAGGCAAUAAUAAAAGGAUUAUUAUUAUAUUUCCUUGUUCAUGAUAAUUGUCUUUAUUCAUGCUAUAAUUGUAUUAUCCGGAAAUCGUAAUACACGUGUGAAUACAUAGACCAUAAUAUGUCCCUAGUGAGCCUCUACUUGACUAGCUCGUUGAUCAACAUAUAGUCAUGGUUUCCUGACUAUGGACAUUAGAUGUCGUUGAUAAUGGGAUCACAUCAUUAGGAGAAUGAUGUGAUGGACAAGACCCAAUCCUAAGCAUAGCACAAGAUCGUGUAGUUCGUUUGCUAGAGCUUUUCCAAUGUCAAGUAUCUUCUCCUUAGACCAUGAGAUCGUGUAACUCCCGGAUACCGUAGGAGUGCUUUGGGUGUACCAAACGUCACAACGUAACUGGGUGACUAUAAAGGUGCACUACAGGUAUCUCCGAAAGUGUAUGUUGGGUUGACACGGAUCGAGACUGGGAUUUGUCACUCCGUAUGACGUAGAGGUAUCUCUGGGUCCACUCGGUAGUGCAUCAUCAUAAUGAGCUCAAAGUGACCAAGUGUCUGGUCACGGGAUCAUGCAUUACGGUACGAGUAAAGCGACUUGCCGGUAAAGAGAUUGAACAAGGAAUUGGGAUACCGAUGAUCGAAUCUCGGGCAAGUAAAAUACCGAUUGACAAAGGGAAUUGAAUACGGGGUUGCCUGAAUCCUCGACAUCGUGGUUCAUCCGAUGAGAUCAUCGAGGAGCAUGUGGGAGCCAACAUGGGUAUCUAGAUCCCGCUGUUGGUUAUUGACCGGAGAGCCAUCUCGGUCAUGUCUACGUGUCUCCCGAACCCGUAGGGUCUACACACUUAAGGUUCGGUGACGCUAGGGUUGUAUAGAUAUGAGUAUGCAGCAAACUGAAAGUUGUUCGGAGUCCCGGAUGAGAUCCCGGACGUCACGAGGGGUUCCGGAAUGGUCCGGAGAUAAAGAAUUAUAUAUAGGAAGUGCAGUUUCGGCCAUCGGGAGAGUUUCGGGGGUCACCGGUAUUGUACCGGGACCACCGGAAGGGUCCCUGGGGUCCACCGGGUGGGGCCACCAAUCCCGGAGGGCCCCGUGGGCUGAAGUGGGGAGGGGACCAGCCCCUGGUGGGCUGGUGCGCCCCCCUUGGGCCCCCCCUCCCGCGCCUAGGGUUGGAAACCCUAGGGUGGGGGGGGCGCCUCCACUUGCCUUGGAGGGCACUCCACCCCCUGGCCGCCGUCCCCUUGGGAGAUCCCAUCUCUAGGGCCGGCUCCCCCCCAGGGGUCCUAUAUAAAGGAGGGGGAGGGGAGGGCAGCCGCACCCUGAAGUCUUGGCGCCUCCCUCCCCCCUUGCUACACCUCCUCCUCCCGUAGUCGCUUGGCGAAGCCCUGCCGGAACUCUGCUGCAUCCACCACCACGUCGUCGUGCUGCUGGAUCUUCAUCAACCUCUCCUCCCCCCUUGCUGGAUCAAGAAGGAGGAGACGUCACACUGACCGUACGUGUGUUGAACGCGGAGGUGCCGUCCGUUCGGCGCUAGGAUCUCCGGUGAUUUGGAUCAUGACGAGUACGACUCCCUCAACCCCAUUCUCUUAAACGCUUCCGCUCGCGAUCUACAAGGGUAUGUAGAUGCACUCCCCUCUCUUGUUGCUAGAUGAACUCAUAGAUUGAUCUUGGUGAACGUAGGAAAUUUUUAUUUUAUGCAACGUUCCCCAACACUUUGGUGAGGCGGUGAUGGUACACCUAGCGCCGGAUCCAUGCAUCAUUUGGGCGGACGCAUUGGAUUCCCCGCGGAAGGAGUUCGAGUGUUGCCGUUGCCAUCGGGCAGCCUCCUCCCGGGAGCGGUGGAGCGCAAGCUGGAUGGCCAGCUCCUCCUAGGAGCCGCGUGGGAUGAGUUCGGGGUUGACGGAUCUGGAGGUGUAACACUGGGAUCCGCCUCCUGCCAUGCCGAAGAAGGCCAUAAGAUCGUCGAACGGGAGCUUGGGUGGCGGCAUAGAGUGGAGUAAAGUGGCUAGGGUUUGGUCCGGCAAGCGGAUGGGGAGGAAUAUAUGUGGGGUCGGGUGGGCCAGCGUGGACCGGGACCGACAUGGCGGACGCGCCUGGGCGCCGCAUAUUCUUCCUAGAUUUGGGCUGGAUAUCAGGGGUGCUGGUUAGCUUGGGCGUUUGAGGCCCAUCUGGAUAGUUUUUCUGUGACCUGACCGUUCGUCCGGGCGUUUGAGGUGGGUUUGGGACGCCCAGGUGUAAAUGCUCUUAGACCAUGUAGUACCUUGAGGAGGAUGGUGGGUCCAUGGAACAACUACAGCCUCUCCAUUUUGUUUGGGCGCAGGGCGAUAACGGAGUUAUCUCUACUCCUAAAGAGGGAGUCGUUAGUCUCCCUUCCACGGUUUUUUUGUCUUACCUCCCAUCUUUGUUUCAUUUUUUCCGUCUCUUUUUCCACCACCGUCUGUUUUUUCUCAUCUCCACCUGGCAUGUAACGAAAAAAAAUCUGUUUCAUAGGUCGAUUGUCAAGGUCCGAGAGCCGCCGCCACCUUCAUUGCGGACCUCUAGGUCGCCGUCCGGACACACCGCCGAGGUCCGCAAUCACCGACGUUGAGGUCCGAGAGGAGCUGCCGCCCCCUUCAUUCUGGGCCUGGACGCUUCAUGGUCCUCCUACCUCUCCCUUUCCUCUCCCCUUCUCUCCCGCUUCCAUCCUCACUCGCCGCCCCUGCCUCUCNNNNNNNNNNNNNNNNNNNNNNNNNNNNNNNNNNNNNNNNNNNNNNNNNNNNNNNNNNNNNNNNNNNNNNNNNNNNNNNNNNNNNNNNNNNNNNNNNNNNNNNNNNNNNNNNNNNNNNNNNNNNNNNNNNNNNNNNNNNNNNNNNNNNNNNNNNNNNNNNNNNNNNNNNNNNNNNNNNNNNNNNNNNNNNNNNNNNNNNNNNNNNNNNNNNNNNNNNNNNNNNNNNNNNNNNNNNNNNNNNNNNNNNNNNNNNNNNNNNNNNNNNNNNNNNNNNNNNNNNNNNNNNNNNNNNNNNNNNNNNNNNNNNNNNNNNNNNNNNNNNNNNNNNUCUCUCUCUCUCUCUCUCUCUCUCUUGUUUCCUACCCCACUGGUUCUACAAUGCUGGUCGUCGCCUUGGGUUGGCGAACCUAGCUACUGUGGGUUGGGAUUCAAAUGCCACAUCAUCUUUGGGACGCGGCCGUGACGGCUUGGCCUGAUGCCUGCGAAGUAGGGCGAGCAGAGACAACAUGAGACUGCGCCGCUGUGCUGUUCGCCGUGACGCGCUGUCACGCUGUGUAGAUGGAGGAUGCGUGCCCAAGCCUUGUUGUGCCUGUCUUCCCGUGCGGUAGUCGGGAUCUGGACUGGAUCGGGGUUGAGUUCGACACCACCGAACCCCGGCUUCCAGGAGACCAGGCGCCUCCUCUCCUCAUCACCCGUCUCACCAGAGGCAUGUGCAGAAUUCCGUACACCAUCUGCGCAAACAUGGUGGUCGACGACGCUCUGGAUGUGGUCUACGUGAGGACUAGGUUCCAUCAUUAACAUGUACCCUGGCAAGGUAUGUGCUAUGGGAUGUAAACUCUCGAUUUUAUCUUCAUUUUAGUUGCCUUCAUCUCAUGCUUUGUUCGUUCCAUAGGCAUUUGUCAUGAAUCUAUUUUCAGGAGGGUGAUGUUAACGAUUUCAAAAACUUGAUAGCAGGGUAUGGCUAUAGUUAUUGGUCAUGCAUUAUCGCGAGGCUUGACAAGCAUACCAUAAAAUGGUUUUUAUUUAUGCUCUCGUAGGUUAAACCAAUCUCUGUCAUUAUGAAAUUGGCAUAGCUGAACAUGAUCAGGACUUCAGCAGGGCAGGGUCAUUACUUUGGAGUUUCAGCACUCAUAGUUGGUGAGUGCUUAUGUCCUAAAAUUUUGGAUGUGACUAAACAUAGGCUGGUAUGGCUAAUCUUUUUUGCUUUUCUGUCCUUGCUCUUCACGGAAUCUUCAGGUUUACGGAUUGAUAAUUGUGAUCUAUGUUUCAACCACUUCCCAAUGUUUUACUUGAUGAGAAGGUUCUAAUUUUAUUUUAUUUUAUUUCACUUGAUGAGAAGGGUCCAUGUUUCACCGACUUUGUACAAGUGUGUUUGCUUAGCUAGAUUUCUGCCCUUAUUUUCUAUUUGACAUCCCUCAAUCAUUUUCUGCAGAUUCACUUCGUUCGUAUUCUAUAUUGUUGUAAGUGCACCUAGGGAUAUUAUAGUAGUUCUUAUCUGCAGUUUACUACAACUGGUGACCACAUCUCCAUAUUAUUAUCUUUAAAAUGUACUUUCAAAAAGUAAACUAAUUAACGUUAACCUUCCGCUCUGUAGAAACCACAUAAUUUCAACUCAUUAAUCAUUUUUUAGCGGAAAGGCAGUAAUCAAUGAUGGCGAUUUAAACUGUACUCCUUAUAGUAUUGAUAUUCCCCAUGCACCGGUAUGUUCUCGUACAUCCGUGAAACUUCUGAGUCAAAAUGUUAUAUCCUUAUGUAUACAGUUCAUCAUUGGUUGUUACAGAAUUUCCCAGUGGGCACAACCUCAACCCACACCUCCCACCAGGAUCUUCUCUCUGCCGGAGCCAUCCUACCUGCAGCCAGCUCCCCCUCGUACGCCCUGAUCUCCACCUUGUGUGCUGGUCCAUUCAUCAUAGCUAGAAGGUAAUGACUAAUGAGCAUGUCAUCUCUGCCCCUCUCAAUUUCAUCCUUGUGUUGUUUAUUUUUCAGAGAAUGUGGUAUUAUGUAGCCCCUCUCUGUUGAUGAAUUGAAUGUAUAGAUUAUAUACUAGCAAAAGAGCCCGUGCGUUGCAACGGGAUAAUAAAACCGACGAAUUGUACUCGUGUGACUUGAGCUUUGGUUGGUUUCACACGCUUAUACUUCUUAGUUUUCUUGUAAAAUAAUAUGGCGGUAUUUAUACUAUUCAGGGUUGGUUAUCCAUCCGUCAGGUUAUUCAGGGCGUAAAUUUACGGAAAGAAGCAUAUUGUGACGGUGAAUGCGACGGAGUCAAUCCGUGCUUUAUUAUUUGGAAAAGAGAAAUAUGCCUAUGCAUUGCUACGGCUCUAGAAUAAACCUAUACAUGGUCAAAAUACAGGACAGCAACAUGUCUUCUUUUAGUUUUUUUCAAACCAUUAGAAAUAUGUUAGAUUUUACUUAAGUUUAGUUCCCUUAUUCCACCAUAAAGCAUUCCGGUUGAAAAGGAGAUGGCGUCUGUCAUUUACUUUCUAGAAAAACAUAGAGUCGAUAAACUUUCCUGUAUCUUCAGCCAUAGGUCCUUUACUCAUAUUUAAAAAAUUGUAAUAUUUAAUCCAAGCAAAAUUAUAUGAAUUACAGGAAAAAUUGUACUCAUGUGACUUGAGCUUUGGUUGGUUUCACACGCUCAUACUUCUUAGUUUUUUUGUAAAAUAAUACGGCGGUAUUUAUACUAUUCAGGGUUGGUUAUCCAUCCGUCAGGUUAUUCUUGAAGCUAGCUAGUAAUCACCAUGAGUUCAGUUGGCGUUCCAAGUAAUCACCAAGCCAAUCGACCGUGAGCAUCCGGACGUUAGCUGCGAAUGACAGACGGCUGGAUGGGCUAAUGAAGAUUAAACCUCAAUUUUGUACGCGGUAGUGCUGCAGACCUUCUGCAGUGAGACUUCGAUCAGAAGGACUUACCAGACAGGGGCACGGAGGAUUUAGAUAUCCUACUGCAGCUGCCGCUGCUCACCAAGGAGUUGCUCCCGUGCCGCUCGAAGGUCGCCAGCUCGGGGCAGAGCAGGAGCUUAAAGGCCAUGGACACGCCAGACCUGAAGGACGGCAGUGGCAAGGGUGGCGCAGGUGGGCGACGUUGCUCGCGCUCGGGGCGGACGCCGGCGGCGCUCGAUCUUGCCUAGAGCACGGAGGGGACAGGGGAGCAGGGGAAGAGGUAGGCAGUAAACCAGAUAGGAAUGGCACAUGUAUCGCAUCUGCCCUCGGCGGAGCUCCGCUCUGUCGUCAACAUCCGCGACGGACCCCACGAAGCCCAUCAUGUCGGCGUCCUUGAGGAACCGCCCCUGCUUGCCGCGGCCGACCGCAAUUUCGGAGAAAUUGGAGAUGGGGGAUCGUCCGCGGUUCGGCAACGGGUACGGGGAGGAGUCCGGGGCAAAGACUGUUCCGCUCGACCGGCCGGAGGAGCGCAGCCGCUCCGGUGGCCAGAGAUCGAGGGGGUGGCGGCGGUGUCCAACCCCCAACAGGCUGUGUUCUUUUUCUGACGGGACGAAAAAGGGGAAUCCCUUCUCUGGAACCGCUGUCGUUGCUCGACUGUGCUCCAAGCCGCCGCCGCCACCGCCGUCGCCUGAUUGCUCUCUCCCCGUCAACCCCCCCUCUCUCUCGAUCCAGCGACGCGUGUUUAGAUCGAAGCCCCCUGAAUUCCACGACCGAUCUGAUUCUAUCGAUCGAGGCAGCUCUGUUUCGAUUUGUAUAUGUACUUUUUAGGAGGAGUGUCCCGUGUUUGUUUCUGAUAGCCAUCUAUUUGUUUUAUGCUCAACAGGCCCAUUAGCCCUUGAUCUGGCCCAGGGAGUCUAGCGACCCAGGGAGUCUAGCGGGGAAGAGAGCGGGUGCGACCGAUUGGAUGCACACGACGUGGUUGGCCAUCUGAAUUAGUACCACCUUGAAUAUAUUUUAAAAUUAAAAUUGAAAACGUAAAAUCACGGAAAGAAGCGCAUUGUGACGGUGAAUCCGGAGACCCAAUCCAUGCUUUAUUAUUAGGGAGAGAUUACUAAAGAAAUCCGCCUUAAAAGGCGUUCCACUAAAAACGCAGUAGGAUCCUAUUUCAAGUUCCUUGCACUUAAACCGCAAAAGGGAAAGGCAAUUUUCCUAACUUUUCCCGUUAACGCAGAGCAGUCAGAUGAAUAACAGUAGGAUUGUUCAGUUUGUAUGCUCGUCCACUACUUCGGUUUAUUCAGGUUGCAUGAUACAGUAAUUUUGCAAAUGUGUCAGACUAUCUAUUUAGAUUAGCUAAUAGAAUUUAUUUCCACUAUGUGUUGUGCGGAGGAUAGAUCAGCAGGACUAAACAAUAUGUGUCUAACACCAUUUGCACAAUUCCCUUAAACUGCCCGCAGUAGCUGACCAAGUACCACCAAUGUUGUCAUCAGUCUUGAAGGGGAUUCAAAACCCGGUAGGAUCGCACACCGUAUGGCUUGGACAUCGGAAGAAGAUGCAAGAUUGGUAAUGAGAUUACUUGCCUCAGUGCUCAAUUUAUGAUCCUAUUCAUUUGAACUGAUUUACUUGUUUGUCUCAGCUAAUCUAUCCUCAAACGCAGACAACCAUUUGGUCGAAAACCUCAAAUGUUUCCAUCGAGAUAAUAACAAGAAGAACAUCAAGUACUGGGAUGACAUUGUUGUUACAACAAUAGUAAUAGGCCAAGUCACCGGAAGGGAGAUGCUCGUCGUGUAUGAUGGACAUGGUGGCUCGGAGGUGAGGUUAUCUUCUCUUGAAAAUCUUGACCUAGACAAAAGAAAUUAACCUUGAGGCCAUGGGAAGCAGGAAAGCGAAGGUCACGAAUGGCCGCACAAUUUGGUGGUGUUUGUGUGUUGUGCGGUCAAGCCUUUCUACGGGCUCCAUGGUGAUGCAGCAGCAUCACCUUCUUACGGAGAUGAGAUGAUGGGAUGAGGCCGCAUGGUGUUACCUAUUGUUGUUGUGUUAGCUUUGCUGUGUAUGUGUGCGUGUGAGAGAGAUCAGCGGCUGAUUGGGGAUGGUUAUGUUGUUGCUAGAUUAUAAAACAUGUCGUUUAAGUGAAUAUCAACUGUCGGAAAGAAAGCAAUGGUACUGUGAUUCUACUGUUUUAUGCUAGACGUUAAAGAAUACUACUUGCAAGCAGUUAGCGACGAACUGAGGGUUUGCAAGUAGUACUUUUUCCCAGUUGUGCUUCUACUUGCCUGAAUUUAAGUAGGAGAAAUUACCAGUUGUGUUUUUUUGAAAUAAUCUUGAUUUAACUAUGAUUUUCAGAAACUGGUACAGCUUUAACACGGUUCCUUGCUCACUGUGGUACAUUAAAACAAUAAAUUGAGGAGUUUAGAGCCUGCCUAGAGACCUCACAUAGCACCGCCUCAUUUGGCAGCGACAUCAUGAUGAUCUUGUCUGGUCUACUCCAAGUCUCCGCUUGUGGUUUGUGUUGGAAAUAUGAGCAAUUUACCGAAUGAUUUUAUUAACAAAAAUACUAGAUAAAGCAUGACUAAAAUAGGAAAUAUAAAGAAAGUCAUGCAGUCUGACAGAGAGAAGGUAAACAUCGUCUGCAUAAAUGAACUUGAGCUAAACACAUCUAGAACAGACAAUAGAUGAAGUUGCUCAUACGAAACAGAACCUAACAUACGUAGGGCAGAAACUAGAGCCAAGAACUGUAGCAGGACUUCUAACAGAAAGGAGAAGAACACGUACGGCAUAGCAGCAGCAGAAGAGCUGGACUUGGGGUCAGUGUCCUCGCCUGCCAUGUCGUCGAGGAGGUCGUGGACGUCGGGGAAGAAGUCGUCGUCGGGGAAGUAGUCGUCGGCGACCGGAUCGUCUGUGAUGAAGCAGCCAGUAGUCGCGCUGAGCGCUUCCCAAAAACCUUAUCACCCUUCUCCCGUACAUGACUCAAAAGGUGCGGUCUCUGAGGCCUACUGUCCCAACAUGCGGUGCACGCCGCAAGUCGGGAUGAGGAAGACAGCAGCAGCUCAGAGAUGGAACCGAUGGCGAGGGAAGGAGCAGUUCUGGUGCGUAUCUCUGAAAGGAGCGACCUCCCUUUUAUAGGCGCAAGAGAAGGAGGCGAGAGGCUGCGCCGGGAGCUGAAGGGAAUGUGGGAGACGAAACGAACAAGCAGCAGCUGAAGGGGCGCGCCGUUCGGAUUCAGUGUCCAGGCACAGAAAAAAACUGUUUCAGCUUCCGAGUGACCUUUCGUAUACACGUAGUGCGUGGCAAAACUUUAGACAUCGGCUCAUUCCCGCAACCCGCGGCGUGACGAGGCGGGCGGCGGAGGAGGAGCGCGCGUGGAUGUCCCUCUUGUUCUCAUGCUCAUACAAGUGGGGAAGGAGUCUCCCUUAUAAAGAGGUCCAACUCCCUCUAAACUAGCAAGGUGGGACUAAACUUUAGUUCCACCUCUUACCUUGCAUGAAUGGGCUGCGUGGGCCUCUAGGAUUUAUUAGGAAUUUCUGAAACUGCUAUUGGGCUAGGCCCAAAUAGACAAAAAUUCCAGCAGUUUGUGUUCUUUAGGUCUAUGGAAAACACCACGGUGCAUGCCAUUGUCCGUCAUUUCGGGAAAAAUGACCUAGAACAUGCAGAUAACUAAAUUUGGUGAAAGAACUGAAGAAAUCUACUACAUCACAAUAUGAAUUAAAAACAAACAAAAAAUUGGGCAGGACCUCUACAUAAAAAUGGACAGUUAUAGAAAUUUAGCGAAACGGAAAUAAAUCAACGGUUUGCCAAAAAUUUAACGCUUAUAGUAUGAAUCCCAAUAAGGAAAUGAAGACAUCUACUACAUCACAAUAUGAAUAAAACAUAAACAAAGAAAUUUGGCAUGACCUCUGCAUAAAAAUGGACAUAUUAAGUGAUUGAGAUCUGGCGAAACAGAAAUAAAUCAACGUAUCGCCAAAACUUUAGCACUUAUAGUAAGUAUACCUAUAAUGAAUUGAAGACAUCUACUACAACAUAUUAUUUAACUCAGUAUGAACAGAAAUAAUGUACGGAAUAAUACAAUAUAUAUGUGAGACUAUAUAAUUACCUCUAAUAUGAACAAAUUGGUAUUCCUUGUUCAUGGUUACGUAUGUGGCUGCUGCAACUAUAAUUGUUUUGAUGUGUGUGCCUUAAAAACUAUAGAACAAGAAACUACAACUAUAAAUGAACUCUAGUAUGAACAAAUCGAACUCAUUAACGAAUAUGAACACAUUAAUAGCAAUAACCCUAACCCUAGUCGAACGUACGUGUGCGUGUGCGUGGCGGCCGUGGCCGUGGGUGACAAGGAGGAAAGCCGGAGAGGGAGGCGCGGACGACAAUGUAUUACUGGAUGGAGCGGAGGGUGACGGGGCGGAUCGUCGGUGAGGGCGACGGGGCGGCGAAUCGAGGGCGAGGGAGACGCGCGGUGAACGGCUAGGGCGGCGACGAGUAAGCGGUGCUGAUGGCGGCAGCGGACAGGGACGACGACUUGGGUAGCAUGGAUGAGCCAACGGCGUCCGCGACGAGAUGGGGAAGAGUGGGAGUGAGAGAGUAAAUUGGGGUAGGAGGAGAGGGGGCACGUGCGUGUACGUAGGUCGAUUGAGUUUGUCGUAUGCGACCGGUGUGCCAAGCCUCCCAACACGGCUUCUUUGGGGUGGUGGGCGGAAAACCGAUUCGAUUUGGGGCAGAAUAGACAGCUAACUUAGUUGUGGCGGGUAGGGGCCCAUACCCGCCAGAGCUAAUAUCUGUAUAAAAUUUAUUUUUCUGGCGUGCAUUGCUGGCACUAAACUGUGGCCGGCCCAAUCGAGCGUCCGCCACUUUUGCAUUCAAGAACAAUGGCGGCCGAGGCUAACACCCGCCACUGAUCGCAUUCAUCAGGUGGCCAUACUCAGUGGUGCUUACUUGUGGCGGGUGGUGUUCUCCACCCGCCACUGCUACGCAUGUAACUCUGGAGGUCAUGUUGUGGCACCUGCCACUGGUACUUUUGCUAACUAGCAGUGGCAGGUGCUAUGUCCCGCCCGCCAAUCUUUCGAAUUCACCUAUAAGCCCUUUCCCAGUAGAGUAAUAAAGGACUUCUUGACAAGUCCGUGUAGAUUAAAGGUAUGUUAGUAGAUGGUGUAAUAAAUACAUGCUUUAGUGAUCUAAGGAUACAAAUAUGCCACUAUUUAUUUUGUAAAAGGUCGAAAUCAUUCUUAGAAAUCUUAGUAACAACAGUUCUCAUGAACAACUUUGACAAAAUGCAUCAAAUGUUACAAAUAAUACAUACAAACUUAGUUCAAUAAAUUAAUCAAUUGAAGUGAGAACAAACCUAAAUGUACUUAGAGUAAAUCAAUUAAUACGUGUAAAGCCAAUACUAAUCCAAUAUUUAUUAAUAAAUUUGCAUAGAAUUACAACCCUUUGACAUAGAAAGGGAAUAUGAUGAGUCAUGUAUAGAUAACUUGCACAACAUUCCUACCCUUGGCAUAAAAGGAGAAAUUGAUGAGUCAUGUAUUGAUAAUGUGCACAACAUCACUACCCUUGACAUAAAAGGAGAAUUUGAUGAGUCAUGUGUUGAUAACGUGUACAACAUUACUAUCAGUAUGUUCAACUUACCAUCAUAUUAUACAACACUACAAGUUAGUUUUAAAAAGAACAAGAGUCCAGAACGAAGAUCAGAAUACUUGCUUGAUCUAUCUUAACAACAUGCACUAGGACAAAAAUUUAGUCCCACGCAAGCUAUGAAGAUUUGUUUUAUGUAUAACUAUUUGUACAACAUGACAAACUUAGAUCCAAAAGGAAUGCAAUCCAGAUAAUUGUUUGACAUGUAAAGUGAAUAAGAUGAGUCAAUGCCAAUUAUCAAGUUUUCCUCACUCUUAGAUGAUAUGUACAAUAAAAAGACAACUUUGAUGAUCACUCUGAAAUUACGUUUGUAUGUAGUGCCACCAAACACAACAUCCCAAAUAUUAGUUUGAUAAGCAUCAAAUCACUUUUGAAAAAAGAAAGCAAUAAUGAAAAGAAACCUAACCAAGAUAGCUAUAAAAAGGCCUGCAAUAUGUAGACUCCAUACCAUCAUCCAUCCUUCACACACCUAGAGCACAAAUCAGCAAAUCCAAGUACGUAGUAGUUAACGCAAAUCGACCAUGAAGACCUUACUCAUCCUGACGAUCCUUGCGAUGGCAAUAACCAUCAGCACCGCCAAUAUGCAGGUCGACCCUAGUGGCCAAGUACAAUGGCCACAACAACAACUAGUCCCCCAACCCCAACAGCCAUUAUCCCAGCAACCGCAACAAGCAUUUCCCCAACCCCAACAAACAUUUCCCCAUCAACCACAACAACAAGUUCCCCAGCCUCAGCAACCACAACAACCAUUUCUCCAGCCCCAACAAGCAUUCCCCCAACAACCACAACAACCAUUCCCUCAGACUCAACAACCACAACAACCAUUUCCCCAGCAACCACAACAACCAUUUCCCCAGCAAUCACAACAACCAUUCCCCCAGACUCAACAACCACAACAACCAUUUCCCCAGCAACCACAACAACCAUUCCCCCAGACUCAACAACCACAACAACCAUUUCCCCAGUUCCAGCAACCACACCAACCUUUUCCCCAGCCCCAACAACAAUUCCCGCAGCCCCAACAACCGCAACAAUCAUUCCCCCAGCAACAACGACCGUUCAUUCAGCCAUCUCUACAACAACGUUUGAACCCAUGCAAGAAUAUCCUCUUGCAACAAUGCAAACCUGCGUCAUUGGUGUCAUCCCUCUGGUCGAUAAUCUGGCCACAAAGCGAUUGCCAAGUGAUGCAGCAACAAUGCUGCCAAGAACUAGCACAGAUUCCUCAGCAGCUCCAGUGCGCAGCCAUCCAUAGCGUCGUGCAUUCCAUCAUCGUGCAGCAGCAGCAACAACAACAACAACAACAACAACAACAACAAGGCAUGCAUAUCCUGCUGCCACUAUCUCAACAACAACAGUUGGGUCAAGGUACUCUCGUCCAAGGCCAGGGCAUCAUCCAACCUCAGCAACUAGCUCAAUUGGAGGCGAUCAGGUCAUUGGUGUUGCAAACUCUUCCAACCAUGUGCAACGUGUAUGUCCCACCUGAGUGCUCCAUCAUCAGGGCACCAUUUGCCAGCAUCAGGGCAUCAUCAGGGCACCAUUUGCCAGCAUAGUCGCGGGGAUUGGUGGCCAAUGAAAAAAGCAAGAUCUAUACUAAUAGAUAGAUGGAUCAUCGUUACUUAGCAGAUGCACCAAUCGAUGUAACGAUGACAAAUAAAGUGGCGUGCACCAUCAUGUGUGACCCCGACCAGUGCUAGUUCAAGCUUGGGAAUAAAAGACAAACAGAGUUCUUGUUUGCCAGCAUUGCUUGUCAUUGUUCCAUUCACCAUGUAUUUAGAUGUUCAUCCCUAACCGCAGUUCUAGGCUUACACAUCAACAGCUAGUUGCUUGUGCCGGCAGGUUCCUAUGUAAUCUACCGAUUAAUGGUUGACCUAUUAAUCCAGUUUAUAGGCCGAUUGAUCUAUUAAUUGCUGCUCCCAAACUGACCGACCAGCUAUCAGUUACCAUUUUGCUGAACAUUGCACACAGUAAUAACUCAACGUAUUUUAAUGUCUAGAAGUAAAAGGGCCAUUUUAGCAGCAAAACAAGCGCCUGAUUAGGAACCAUCCAUCACUUUAAAUGUUCACCAAGAUAUUUUUGCGUUGGUGCAAUUUUGAGAUUGGUGGCACCGAAACAUUCCUCAAAGCAAUUCUUUAUGGGACUCCAAAGAGGUGAAAAUAAAGUAAAGUUGCCACAUGGUAAAAUAUAAAUCAUGCGGCGAGCAAGAGAAAAUAUUGAGUUACGAUAGCAAGCGCCAAACAUGCCAUUAAACUCUUCAUAUGGUUUCGUGCAGAGAGGGGGGAUUUAGAGAUGACAAACAAAGCUUAAGUAGCAUCGGUUCUGAUUGUAGAAAUUUCUUUUACCUAUAGAAUAACUCGGUUGUUAUUUCUUUAACAAUGUAGUGUGAUAUUAACUUAUCUCAAUCUAGGAACACAAAGCAAAUAUUACAUGUGCUUCUAUGGAUUCCAAGCAGAUGAGAAAUCAUAUUGUGUAGAAGUUCAUUAGAAGGAUAUAAUAGUUUUGACCUAAACAAAUUUACUAUUGUACUCGUGUCUUAGAAAAUUAAAGCUGAAAAUCAACAUAACCAUUGGACACUUCGAAAGACAAGUGUGGGAAAUAAAUAGUAGGAUGUAAAUUUGAGUAGAGUGUUUGAUCAAAUAUUGAACAAAUAACCCACAAACUACUAAAACUCAUCUAUUAAUUCUACCAUAUAUGAACUGUCACAAUGAUAAAGCUAUGAUUUUUUUGACAAAUAUGUAUCCUAGAACUAAUACAAGUUCAAACAAAUCAGCCACAGAUCCCCGAGCCCAUCCAACCAGAUAGCUGAAACUGAAAGAAGCAUUAGCUUGAUUAGAGCACCUACAGCCUAACUUGACAAAUUUGACCCCAGAAACGCUCGCGGACGCGCCCGGUAGUAACCGGUCACGCCUAAAAUAUUUCAUUCUACAACCAGAUACCUCAAAUUAGAAACCUCAAAUCCAUAUUAUUACAUGCAACAUAAAUCGAUCUUUAAGCAGAGCACGUCCGGUGAUCGAAUGCUCUCCGGAGUGUUGGUCCAGUCACCGGCAAGUUAGAGUAGGGCAUGGGAUACGAGGCGGGUCACGGGACUCGAGGCGCCACCGUCCCCCAUUCCCAACUCUUCUCCAUCGGAACCAGGACGGUGCCGGUGGACGUCAGAUCGAUGAUGGAUCCUUCCUGGGAUGAGCCAUCAACAUCGACCACCACGUGGUUGCGGUGCCCGGACUAGUGCACAAUAUGGGGAGCCGAAAAAUACGACUUUGCCUUCGCAACGACCACCACCGCGAGGGCUGUCGCCGCCUCCCGCACCCGCUGCCUUGCAUGGCAGGAGCGCCGAACUAUGUUUUGCGUCGGGCGGUGCCCAUGGUGUGUCCAUGGCCUCAGCACGCCAAUGGAGGGGCUGUGCGUCUGCCACCCAUUUGAACGCUAGAUGGACCGCACCACCUCUGGUGAGGCAGUGAUGGUACACCUAGCGCCGGAUCCAUGCAUCAUUUGGGCGGACGCAUUGGAUUCCCCGCGGAAGGAGUUCGAGCAUUGCCGUUGCCAUCGGGCAGCCUCCUCCUGAGACCGGCGGAGCGCAAGCUCGAUUGCCAUCUCCUCCUAGGAGCCGCGUGGGAUGAGUUCGGGGUCGACGGAUCUGGAGGUAUAACACUGGGAUCCGCCGCCUGCCAUGCCGAAGAAGGCCAUAAGAUCGUCGGACGGGGGCGGCAGGGAGUGAAGUGAAGUGGCUAGGGUUUGGUCCGGCAAGCGGAUGGGGAGGAAUAUAUGUGGGGUCGGGUGGGCCAGCGUGGAUCGGGACCGACAUGGCGGACGCGCGUGGGCGCCCCAUAUUCUUCCCAGAUUUCGGCUGGAUAUGAGGGGUGUUGGUCAGCUUGGGCGUUGAGGCCCGUCUAGGUCAUUUUUCUGUGACCUGGCCGUCCGCCGGGGUGUUUGAAGUGGGUUUGGGACACCCGGGUGUAAAUGCUCUUAGACCAUGUAGUACCUUGAGGAGGAUGGUGUGGGUCCAUGAAAGAACUACAGCCUUUCCAUUAUGUUCGGGCGCAGGGCGAUAACGAAGUUAUCUUUACUCCUACAAGGGGAGUUGUUAGUCUCCGUUCCAUGGGUUUUUUUGUCUCACCUCCCAUCUUCGUUUCAUUUUUUCCGUCUCUCUUUCACACCGUCGGGUGGAGCUUAUGUGUCAUACUCCGUGACCUUUCAUUAGUUUUCUAGAGAGAAUCCUACUCUCAUAGAUUGCGACGUUUAACAAUCAGACUCAUAUAGGUGUGUUCUUCAAAAGAUGUUCUGCAGGACAACAUCUCUCCUUCAAAAAGCCACUUAGAACACAUUAAGAUAUACAUCAACCUACCAUGCAGAUUAGGAGAGUAUUGCAUCUUCAUGGAGUGGUAUUUUAACAAUAAGGAUACACUACUAGGGAAAAGGCUAGCAGCAGCGCGGGUUUUUGGUGUAUCAGUAGCGCGGGGUGGGGCGCUACUAAUAAGGCGCUACAGCUAACAUAUAGCAGUAGCGCGUGGUCACCGGCGCUACUGCUACACAAGUGUAGCAGCAGCGCGGUUACUGGGAGCACGCUACUGCUAGUAGCUCUAGCGCCCUUUGCAGCAACGCGCUACUGCUAUAGAGGCGCUGCUGCUAACUUCUAUACACUCGCUACUGCUAAUUUAACAGGUUUUUUGUUUUUUUGGGCAUAUUUGUUUUGUAUUUGAACAGGCUUUAUAGAAGAAUCUUUAGCACAUAGAAAUGUCAUCAUGAUACACAUACAAAUGCCUGCGAGACCACGAAUAUAAUCAUAGCAUAUACAUACAAAUAGUCUCAUCAUAAUCAUCAUCCAACACAAAGUGGUCUCUCGUCAUCAUCUCGAAAAUAGCGAUACAAGUCCUUGAUUACUUGCAAAUACAUUGUCAUCCAUCUAAACAAUGGUAUACGCGAGAAGAGCUAUCACUUUGAGAACAUGAGUUCGUAUCCCUCUCUCGCAUUAGCGUGAACCUAAACUAACUACUGCCUGUCGCUCGGAAACCGGAAACCGGCAACACCUGGGUCUGACACUCCGGUCACUCAUCGUAUAUAUACUCCUGGCGUAGCACUUCUUCGCCAUCGAUGAUCUAUGCACCUGCAUCAUCACAUGAGUAGAUGAUAUGCAACAUAUAUAGUUGAGCAACAGAAAGAGACAGACUUGACAAAAAUAGAAACAACGUAUCAUAAGCAUAAAUAACAAAGUUCAUCAUAACCAAAAUGCCCUAACUAGAGUGAUCUUCGCUAGUCGAGGAGGAGGACGGUUUAAUUACAUCACAAAUAAAGUUUUACUGCGCAUAACUCAAAGUUUUGUCAUACAGAAAGUAUGGAGUAAACAGACACAUUGUCAUAUAUUGACAAUCACUCCAACAUGCCGUGCCAUCCAUCGAGGUCAGGGAGAUAGUCCCCGAGCUUAGUGAAAGGCUUCAUGUCGAGACGCUGAGAGGCUAUCCAUGUUCGGACGUCUUCCCACAACAUUUUUCCUCCGUAGAACAUCCCUGUUUUUCCGACGACCUCUUUCAUGAUGAUUUGGGCAAGUUCGCGUUGGAUGUUAUAGAACUCAGCUCGAAGUCGAUGAUCCUCGAUAUCUCCUAUGUCCUUUGCCCAUUGCAGAAUAUGGGCAUCGCCAGAUCUAGGUGACAUGUGAAGGUUCUGGUGAUCCCGUUUGUACUCCCGCAUGUGGUGUAGGACAUAGAAUCCACCAUUAAGAGAAUCGUUCGGUUGUUGGAUGCAGCAGAAGUCGGUCUUAUGGCUGAAGGCGGCCCUGCCGCCCCUUCUCUUCUUGUCCCUAACCUCUCCACCCCUUGCUUGGUAGUAAAACAUAGCACUGUCGAGAACAUCUUUGAUGUGGGUGUAAUCCUUUUUGUGAAUGUUAUUCGAUGAGUCCAAGUAAAGAGCAUGGGAGAAUCGGGGGUAGAGGAUGAUGAGGACGGCGCGCCCGCCGCUGCGCAAAAUAAGUACACCUCAAAUUAAUUAGCCUUCACCGUGCAAAUGAAUUAUUGAAAUCGAAGGAAGGAUAGCAGCGCGGAUGACUUACACGGGAUGAUAAGGCACGAGAAUCGCCUCCUUGUCCUUAUUGGCGAGCAUGAAACUAACGAUGUAAUUCCUCGCGUAUUCACGCUGCUCUGCACAGACUCCCAAGAAGCUCUCGUGCAUGUAGUACGGGUCAGUGACACAGAUAUGACGUAUCUGCUCAACCCCAAUGAUGUAGUUCAUGUGCAAGGCAUAAAGGCGGACAAAUGUAAAAUCCAGCUUCUUCACGUGAAACAUGUCGAAUAUGUAAUCGAAUCGGAGGAAGAACUUAUCCGCAGCGAAGCUGUCGACGUAUGACAUUUUCCGCGGAACGUUAUCCACGUAGAGUGGGUAUCCUGGAUCUUUCGAGGCAAUGAGGCAUUUCUCUACCCGUAGCACAUCAUCAUGAAGUCUCCUUAGAUCGCCGAAUCUGGCCCGUAGCGCUGUUGCAGGUAGGAUUGGUUGACCGGGGAUAUGCCAUUUAUCCGCAUCGGGGAUAUCUAGACGGUCCUGAAGCUGAGGCUGCUGAGGCGGCUGGAUCAUAGAAUCAACUUUUUUUCCUUUCCUCGCUCUCUUCCUAGACUUCUUUACUACCGGAAAGUCGUCAAUAACACAUUGAGACGGUAAUUCAGGCACCGACUCAUGAUGCUCAAACCCUGAGGAGGCGCCAGUAUAGACAUACUGUUCAGCGCCAUCGUCAUCCUCAUCCUCAUCCAUGGCGACGUCAUCAGCGACUAAUGGAGCCUCCUCCUUACCCCGUCCGCUAUCACCCAACCCGACACCCAACGCUAAUUGGGUAGGUGGGGUGUUGAUGUUCAUACCUUGCUGAGACUGCGUGCUCGUGGGUGUGCUCCCGGCCGCCUCCAGACGAAGCAGACUCUUUGGCCACAACAGGACCUACCCAUUGCAACAAUCACCAAGCCGCUGCGGUGUCUCCUCGUCAUCCACCAAUAGUGUUGGAGGAGGCAAAUUCUCGUGGCCCGGUUCGACACUGGCCAUGGAAACCUUGAAGACGUUUGGGGGAAUCGGCCGGCUGUGGAACAAUGGUUCCUUCGGCUUCAUUAUCGUCGCCUUCCCCAUGGCCACCUUCUGGUCCCCGAUGGUGUACAAUAUGGUGCGCGGGGUUUCGUCGGCCUGCAAAGAGAAGUCUGCGACGUGAGACAUUCGAAAGGCAACGAAAACGGGAGAUUAUACAUUUAUAUUGAAGGGGGCCGGUGUGACAGAUACCGUGAGGGCGUCGAGCUCAGCCAAAGACAAAGCACCGCCGAGCACGUCCGGUGCGGGAGCCGGUGCGGGAGCAGGUGCUCCCAAGAAGUCAGCAAGGGGAAAGUCCUCUGCAUUUUUUUCUGGAUUUUUCCUUGUCCAAGUGAUAACGCCCGUCACCAAGGAAGUAGACAAAUCUGCAACCGCCUGUUUUGCGGCAGCUACCGCUGUUGCGACUGUCUGAGAUGAUUUCUUCUCAACCGCAAUCUCAACCUUCUUGUCGAUGUUUUUUUCAGUUAACCUCCGUCUUUCCUUUCUCUCCUCUGUGGUCUCCCGGUAGUACUUCUUCCACGUGGCGCCGUCUCCGACACCGUGCACGCGUCCAUACGAUGGUCGAGUAUCCAUCGGUUGUCGUUUCAAUAUGUUCAACGUCCGGUUGAAUGGAGUGUCCCACUUGGGCCUCGCCAAUGCCUCAGACGGCGAGUCGUUUUCGACCGCAAUCCGGUGCUGCUCUCUCUGCAAAAGGCACAAGGAUCGUUUACAAAUAUGACUAACGUGUGCAGUCGAAUUGAUCAGAAACUAAAAUUACCAGCAGUCUCAUGAACUCCGUAAUGACCGGUGUUGUCUCAUAAACCUUCUUCACUGGGUCCCAACGGUGCCGAGCCCUCAGGACGUCACGCUCCUGCGGGACAGUGAAAUCCGCCAAGGGGUCUGGGAUGCCCAGACUCGCGGCUUCCGCGUCCUCCUUGGCCCAUUUGGACCUCUUUCCGCCGUAACCACGCUUCCGAGGUGGUGGCUCCCAAUGUUCCUCUUUUGAAGCCCCUUCAUGUACUUAGACUUUUUUUGGCAGCUUCGGCCUCGCAAGCCUCCUUGAAUAUUUGAAACUGCUCUUCCGUGAUUGUCAGAUUAUCCUUUACAAUCUCGGAGUAGGGUUCCCCGUCGUUGAUCUUUGCUUUCACUCAAUUUUUCCAGGCGGCCAACGCGUCGCUAAACUUGGUCAUGGCGUGUUUGUUUAUCUUCUUCAUUGCGGGGUCCUCGUCUGGAUCUUCAUAAUCCUUCUCAUUCCGGCCCGGGAACAAGAAUAUCUGGUGAAACUUCUUUAGAAGGGAGCUCCUCAUAUUUUCUAUCUUCUAUAGUUUCUCAUCAUUGAUGGUGGCGGUUGUCCGUAUGAUGCAGCCUAUUUGAUUGCCGUAGCACGCGCGCGCUUCCUCGGGCGCCUUUGGCUCAAAAUUGCCGUCGUCCACCUCUGUGACCACCAGUCUAGUAGUCCUGAGUUUGUUAGGAACCCGUUGCUUCUUUGCGUUCGGUUCUACACCAGCUCCGCUCCCCGAGACAGCACCGGUCUCAGCGCCGCUCUCGAUGCCGGUCUGAAUCUCAGCGCCGGUCUCAGUCUCAGCACCGGUCUGCGUGUCGGUCUCAGUCCCCGAUGCCACUGGUGGGCCCAGCAACAACAUCGGUUGAUCGUCGGUAAGGCUAAAAUAUUCAUCUGCCACCAGGUAGACGUCGUCGCAAUCACCAGAACCCUGUCCUUCAUCGUUGCUAGCCAUGUUUCCUAUCAUUAAAUCUAGUCAAUUAAUUCUAGACCUAAUAAAAUGAAUAAUGACAUAAAAAAGGACUAUUGUUUUGCAGGAAUGUUGACUCCUUCCUGGUGCGGAAAAUCCCGGCACUCGAUAUGUCCUAGUUUGUAGCACAAGUCAUGCCGAAAUUCACGGAAAAUUUUGGCAUGGCCUUUGCUAAAAAGUGGACAAAUCGAGAACCUGAAAUUUGUCGGAACAGAAAUGAAUCAACAUUCCGGCAAAACAUAGGCCACUCAGCAUCAUUCCCUGGAAACAACAAAGCCACUUGGGCACAAUCGAACAACUUCAAUGAAAAGAUAUAACAUGAGCAAACACUAUUGAGGAAUUUGCAUAUAACAUGGCCACUUCAAUGAAAAGAUAUAAUCAACAAUAACGGAAUAUGCAAAUGAACAUCAAUGACAUAUAGCUACUGUUCUGUUUGACCAAGUUUUUGAAAAGAAAAACAAUUCUGUUUUUUGUUUAUAGCUAAAUGCCAUAGCUACUAUUUUUUAUUUAUAGCUAAAUACUUUUGUUUUUUGUCUAAAGCUAAAAGUCUAGGAACUACAUUUUCUCUAACCCUUUUGACCUCACCAGAAUUUUCACAGCAAGACCUUAGUACCUACACCCAAUUUCUUCAAAAAUAUUCAGGUCCAUAGUCCAAAUAAUUCAAAUUUCAUUUGAAUGAAAUUUGGAACAAAUUCAGGUCCGUAGUCAAAAUAUUUUUUUAUAGCUAAGUGUUUUUUGUUUAUACCCUCUGUUAAUUUAAAUCUAAAUGCUACUAUUAUUUAUAUACCCUCUAUUAGUUUAAAGCUAAAUGGAAUUACUGUUUAGGAAUUUUCAUAAAAAUUGCCCUAGCUAAUUUCCUAAAAAAAUUGCAAAUCAUUUUUCCUAAAUGCUAUAAAAUGCCUACUGCCCUAAAAAAAUCUAGGGUUCAUAUGAACACCUAGGGUUCAUAUGAACAUCAACACAGUAUCAACAUAUAUAUAUAUAAUUGCCCUAGCAGAGAGAAAUAGGAGGGUAGGGACAGGAGAGGCAUAGCCUUACGGUCGGCGUUGAGGGCAGGCUCUGGCUCGGGCAGCGGCGGUGAGGUCAAGGGCGGCGGCGGCGAGCUCGAGGGAGGCGACAGUGAGGUCGACGGUGACAGCCUCGGGUGGCGGCUGUGAGGUCGAGGGGGCGGCCUCGGGCGGCGGCCUCGGGCGGCGGCAGUGUGGUCAAAGGCGGCGGGCGGCGGCGGUGUGGUCGAAGGCGGCCUCCGGCGGUGGCGGUGUGGUCGAAGGCGCGCGGCAGGGCAACGGCGGCGAUGAAGCAGUUGGGGGACAGGGGGGAGUAGAGAGGGGGGAAAGGACUUAGCAAAAUUUUGAGCCAGGGCCGCCGGGAUUUGAGUCAAACUAGCAGCAGCGCGUUUUGACGAAACGCGCUAUAGCUAAGAUAGCUAUAGCGUGUUCCAGAGAAAUGCGCUACAGCUAACCCUUUCUGUUUUCUUUCUCUUUUUAUUUUGUUUUCUUUACAUUUUCUUUUUUUCAUUUCUCCUUUUUCUAUUUCUUUCAUUUUCAUUUACUUUUCUACUUAAUUUUCUAUUUAUUUUCCUUUACAUAGCAGUAGCGCUGUAAAGAAGAAACGCGCUGCUACAAUGUUUUUAACAGUAGCGUGCUUCUGGGAGAAGCGCUGCUACUAUUCCUAGCCUACCGGCACCAGUGAGAGAAUUUUAGUAGUAGCGCUUUUUUGUGGAGAAGCGCUACUACUAAAAUAAUGAUUGUAGCGUGGUUUUGCAACAAGCGCUACUACUAAGUAGCGCUAGCGCCGAGUUUUGACCAACGCUACUGCUAUACCUCUGUGUAUAGCAUUUUCCCUAGUAGUGAUACUCUCCUCUCAGUUGACCAACAGCUUGUCUUCCACAUCUAAUUCACGGGAUCUCCGAUCACAAAGAAUGGGUUACCACUGUGGACACCUCAUAUUGUGGGUCUCAUUCCCAUCUCCAUCGAUGCAUUAUCUAUCACAUUACGUGAUAGACCCUUAGUAAAAGGAUCUGCCAGAUUUUUAGACGUUUGGAUAUAAUCCAAUGCAAUAACUCUCGAGUUUUUCAUUUUUCUGACAGACUUUAACCUUCUCUGAACGUGUCUUGAUGACUUCAUGUUAUCCUUUGAGCUGCUCACUUUAGUGAUCACAGUUUGAUUGUCACAGUUCAUCCGGAUACCCGGUACAGGUUUCUCAACUACCGGUAAGUCAUUCAAGAGCCGACGAAGCCAAUCUGCUUCGACCGUAGUUGUAUCUAGUGCUGUGAGUUCUGCUUCCAUUGUUGACCUCGUUAAAAUGGUCUGCUUGCAAGACUUCCAAGAAACAGCGCCACCUCCAUGAGUGAAUACAUAACCGCUCGUGGCCUUUAUCUCAUCAACAUCUGAGAUCCAGUCUGAGUCAAUAUACCCUUCAAGCACCUUUGGAUGCCUAGUGUAGUGAAUUCCAUAAUUUGCAGUGCUUUCAAAUAACGCAAAACUCUCUCUAGAGCUUUCCAAUGCACAUCUCCUGGUUUUGAGACAAACCGGCUCAGUUAGCUAACAGCAAAAGAGAUGUCAGGUCUCGUAGCACUGGCUAAGUACAUAAGCGAGCCAAUAAUGUGUGAAUAUUCCAAUUGGUCUCUAGCAAUUCUUCGAUUCUUUCGAAGCAACACACUAGCAUCAUAUGGUCUUGGAGAGGGCUUGCAGUCACUGUAGCCAAAGCGACUCAAGAUCUUUUCCCCAUAGUGAGACGGAAGCAAUGUAAUCCCACCAUCAUCAUCUCUCAACAACUUGAUGUUCAGAAUGACGUCAGCCACUCCUAAAUCCUUCUUCUCAAAACAGCGAGAUAGGAAAUCCUUGACCUCCUUAAGAACAUUUAGAUUUGUUCCGAAAAUCAGUAUGUCAUCAACAUACAAGCAAAGCAUAACUCCCUCGCCCCCACCAUGGCGAUAGUACACACAUUUGUUAGCUUCGUUCACAACAAAGCCUGCAGCUGUUAAAGUUCUUUCGAACUUCUCAUGCCACUGUUUGGGUGCUUGCUUGAGUCCAUACAAAGACUUCAGCAACUUGCACACUUUCCCUUCCUAACCAUCUAUUACAAACCCAUCUGGUUGUUCCAUAUAAAUUUCCUCAUCCAACUCUCCAUUUAGGAAAGCAGUCUUAACAUCCAUUUGAUGAACGAGAAGACCAUGUGAGGCAGCUAGUGAAAGUUUAACUCGAAUAGUGGUCAGUCGAGCCACAGGUGAGUAAGUAUCAAAGAAGUCUUCACCUUCCUUUUAGGUAUAACCCUUUGCCACGAGCUGAGCCUUGUACUUUUCAAUAGUACCAUCAGGCCUAAGUUUCUUCUUGAAUACCCAUUUGCAUCCUAUAGGUUUGCACCAUAAGGACGAUCAGUUAUCUCCCAAGUUUCAUCCGCCAAGAUGGAAUCCAUCUCGCUACGAACCGCUUCCUUCCAGUAGUCAGCAUCUUCCGAUGCAUAGGCCUCCAAAAUAGAACUGGGAGUGUCAUCUAUGAGAUACACAAGAAAAUCAUCACCCAAGGACUUUGCUGUCCUCUGUCUCUUACUCCUAGUAGGAACUUCAUUGUUCUCCUCCACAGGCCUUUCAAAGUGUUCCAUCGAAAUGGCAGGUUCAGUAAUUGUAACUGGUUCCUGAUUCGAUGAACUAGGCAUCUCCUGAUUAGAUGAGGUAGCCAUAUCCUUCAUGGGAAAGAUAUCUUCAAAGAAAGUCGCAUCAUUCGACUCCAUGAUCGUACUGACAUGCAUGUCAGAUACCUCAGAUUUUACAACCAAGAAUAUAUAGCCAAUGCUAUGAAAAGCAUAUCCCAGGAAAACACAAUCCACAGUCUUUGGUCCAAGCUUCCGCUUCUUUGGAAUUGGAACAUUGACUUUCGCCAAGCAACCCCAUGUUCGCAGAUAAGAGAGUCUUAACCUUUUCUUCUCCCAUUCCUCGAAUGGAGUUAUCUCUUUGUUCUUUGUGGGAACUCGAUUUAGGACAUGACAUGCUGUCAAUAUCGUCUCCCCCCACCAUGCCUUGGAGAGACCCGAUGUGCAUAACAUGGCGUUAACGAAAUCAGUUAGAGUACGGUUCUUUCUUUCGGCCACCCCAUUUGACUGAGGUGAGUAGGGAGGCGUCCUCUCAUGGAUUAUACCAUGUUCCGCACAAAAAGCAUCAAAUUCAUUGGAAAAAUACUCUCCACCACGGUCAGACCUAAGCCUCUUGAUUUUUCGAUCAAGUUGGUUUUCCACUUCAGCUUUAUAGAUCUUGAAAAAGUUCAAAGCCUCAUCCUUAGAUUUCAGAAGAUACACAUGGCAGUAUCUAGUGGAGUCGUCAAUUAACGUCAUGAAAUAUUUCUUUCCACCUUUUGUCAAAACACCAUUCAUUUCACAUAGAUCUGAAUGUAUAAGUUCUAGUGGUGCAAGAUUUCUCGUCUCCGCAGUCACGUGAGACUUACGAGGUUGCUUAGCUUGCACACACACUUGACACUUAGAUCCUUGACAGUGGUGAAACUAGGGAUUAAGUUCAACUUCGCUAGUCGCGACAUGCAACCAAAGUUAACAUGACAAAGACGUGAAUGCCACACAUUUGAUUCACUAUUGUUGCAAAUAUGAUUAACAACUUUAUUGCAAAUGUCUGAUAAGGAUAAACGAAACAGGCCUCCUGACUCAUAGCCUUUACCAACAAAGGUCCCAUACUUGGAUAUUACAAAUUUAUUCGACUCAAAGACAAGCUUAUAGCCAUCUCUACACAGAAGAGAUCCGCUAACAAGAUUUUUAUUGACGGAGGGGACAUAAUGCACGUUCUUCAGCCGCACGAUCUUCCCUGAAGUAAACUUCAGAUCAACCAUGCCAACACCACGAACAGAAGCACUUGAACUGUUGCCCAUCAGCACGGUUGAAGUCCCUGCGGUCUGAUAAGAUGAAAACAUGGAAAUAUCACCGUAUACAUGCACAUUAGCACCCAUGUCAAUCAACCAACCAGGAGAAUGACAUACUGAAAGAAUAGUGGGAAAUAUACCAUACCCAACAUCUUUCAUGUCAAUGUCUCCGAUGACAACAUUAGCGGUCUUGCCGCCUUUCCCAGGAUGACGCUUGUCAUAGCGAUUAGGACAACUAGGAGCCCAAUGAUCAGGAUCUCCAAACACAUGACAAGCACCUUUCUUAUUGUCAUUCUUCUUCUUGAAGUUCAUGUGCUGCACAGCCUUGUUCUUCCCAUCGAACUUUGCUUUACCAUCAAACUUGCCCUUGUUCUUGAACUUGUGGGACUGGAAGUUCUUCUUCUGUACCAGAUUGGCACUAGAUCCUCCCUCAAUACCUCGAGCACAUGUGUCCUUUGCUCUCGCCUUUUCUUCCACAUAAGAGUACCAAUGAGAUCCGGGAUGGAAAACUCCUGUCUCUUAUGCUUCAGUGAGGUAGCAAAGUUCCUCCAUGAAGGAGGAAGCUUAGUGAUGAUACCCCCGGCAACAAACUUGUCCGGUAAGAUACAAUUGAAGUGCUCAAGUUCUCUAGCAAAAGACUGUAUCUCAUGAGCCUGCUCAACCACGGAGCGCUCUUCAGUCAUCCUGUAAUCAUAGAAUUAUUCCAUGAUGUACAGCUCAGUGCCGGCAUCCGAGACCCCAAACUUGGCCUCGAGUGUGUCCCACAUAUCUUUUCAUUGUCAAUUGACGCAUAAGCAUCAACUAUGUUCUCACCAAGAACACUCAAAAGAGCAGCCUUAAACAAGGUAUCCAUUUUCUGGAAAGCUUGUGCCUGUUGGGCAUCUUGCUCUCCUUCGGGUUUGCCAAGAGUGGCAUCAUAGAAACUCAUGGUUUGAAACCAUAAGACUGCUCUCACACGCCACUUCUUAUAGUGGAUACCCUCAAACAUAGGAGGUCUCAUGGAAGCAGCAAAAUCACUCGGGGUAAAUUGCCUAUAAUAAGGUUUUUGGAUUGUUGGAAAUAUGAGCAAUUUACCGAAUGAUUUUAUUAACAAAAAUACUAGAUAAAGCAUGACUAAAAUAGCAAAUAUAAAGCAAGUCAUGCAGUCUGACAGAGAGAAGGUAAACAUCGUCUGCAUAUAUGAACUUGAGCUAAACACAGCUAGAACAGACACUAGAUGAAGUUGCUUAUACGAAACAGAACCUAACAUACGUAGGGCAGAAACUAGAGCCAAGAACUAUAGCAGGACUUCUAACAGAAAGGAGAAGAACACGUACGGCACAGCAGCAGCAGAAGCGCUGGACUUGGGGUUGGUGUCCUUGCCUGCCAUGUCAUCGAGGAGGUCAUGGACGUCAGGGAAGAAGUCGUCGUCGGGGAAGUAGUCGUUGGCGACCGGAUCGUCUGUGAUGAAGCAGCCAGUAGUCGCACUAAGUGCUCCCCAAAAACCUUAUCACCCUUCUCCCGUACAGGACUCAAAAGGUGCGGUCGCGAAAGCCUACUGUCCCGACGUGCGGUGCACGCCACAAGUCGGGAUGAGGAAGACAGCAGCAGCUCAGAGAUGGAACCGAUGGCGAGGGAAGGAGCAGUUCUGGUGCGUCUCUCUGAGAGGAGCGACCUCCCUUUUAUAGGCGCAAGAGAAGGAGGCGAGAGGCUGCGCCGGGAGCUGAAGGGAAUGCGGGAGACGAAACAAACAGGCAGCAGCCGAAGGGGCGCGCCGUUCGGAUUCAGUGUCCAGGCACAGAAAAAAAAUGUUUCAGCUUCCGAGUGACCUUUCGUAUACCCGUAGUGCGUGGCAAAAAUUUAGACAUCGGCUCGGCUCAUUCCCGCAACCCGCGGCGCGGCGCAUCGUGAUGAGGCGUGGUGAGGCGGGCGGCGGAGGAGGAGCACGCGUGGAUGUCCCUCUUGUUCUCAUGCUCAUACAAGUGGGGAAGGAGCCUCCCUUAUAAAGAGGUCCAACUCCCUCUAAACUAGCAAGGUGGGACUAAACUUUAGUUCCACCUCUUGCCUUGCACGAAUGGGCUGCGUGGGCCUCUAGGAUUUAUUAGGAAUUUCUAAAAUUGCUAUUGGGCUAGGCCCAAAUAGACAAAAAUUCCAGCAAUCCCCCACCAGAUCCCAGAGGCACACAAAAUUUGCCUUUGGUUCCAAAACACUGUUUUAUAUACUGGUACAGCAGUGGAGACUGUUAAGUUGAACUUCCACCUAGAACCCUAUGCUACACUAGUAAGCAACUUGAACAGUGGACUGGGCCUUGAACUGCAAGUUUUCUGCAAAUCUAGCUUCACAUAAGGCCUUGACCGAUACGUGGCUACCGUGGGUCUUCCCCGUGGGUGGAGCUUAUGCGUCAUACUCCGUGACCUUUCAUUAGUUUACUAGAGAGAACCCUACUCUCAUAGAUUGCGACGUUUAACAAUCAGACUCAUAUAGGUGCGUUCUUCAAAAGAUGUUCUGCAGGACAACAUCUCUGCUUCAAAAAGCCACUUAGAACACAUUAAGAUAUAAAUCAACCUGCCAUGCAGAUUAGGAGAGUAUUGCAUCUUCAUGGAGUGGUAUUUUAACAGUAUGGAUACUCUCCUCUCAGUUGACCAACAACUUGUCUUCCACAUCUAAUUCACGGGAUCUCCGAUCAUAAAGAAUAGGUUACCACUAUGAACAACUCAUAUUGUGGGUCUCAUUCCCAUCUCCCUCGAUGCAUUAUCUAUCACAUUACGUGAUAGACCGUUAGUAAAAGGAUCUGCCAGAUUUUUAGACGUUUGGAUAGAAUCCAAUGCAAUAACUCUGGAGUUUUUCAUUUUUCUGACAGACUUUAACCUUCUCUGAACGUGUCUUGAUGACUUCAUGUUAUCCUUUGAGUUGCUCACUUUAGUGAUCACAGUUUGAUUGUCACAGUUCAUCCGGAUACCCGGUAUAGGUUUCUCAACUACCGGUAAGUCAUUCAAGAGCCGACGAAGCCAAUCUGCUUCGACCGUACCUGUAUCUAGUGUUGUGAGUUCUGCUUCCAUUGUUGACCUCGUUAAGAUGGUCUGCUUGCAAGACUUCCAAGAAACAGCGCCACCUCCAUGAGUGAAUACAUAACCGCUCGUGGCCUUUAUCUCAUCAGCAUCUGAGAUCCAGUUUGAGUCACUAUACCCUUCAAGCACCUUUGGAUGCCAAGUGUAGUGAAUUCCAUAAUUUGCAGUGCCUUUUAAAUAACGCAAAACUCUCUCUAGAGCUUUCCAAUGCACAUCUCCUGGUUUUGAGACAAACCGGCUUAGUUAGCUAACAGCAAAAGAGAUGUCAGGUCUCGUAGCACUGGCUAAGUACAUAAGCGAGCCAAUAAUCUGUGAAUAUUUCAAUUGGUCUCUAGUGAUUCUUCGAUUCUUUCGAAGCAACACACUAGCAUCAUAUGGUGUUGGAGAGGGCUUGCAGUCACUGUAGCCAAAGCGGCUCAAGAUCUUUUCCACAUAGUGAGAUUGAAGCAAUGUAAUCCCACAAUCAUCAUCUCUCAAAAACUUGAUGUUCAGAAUGACAUCAGCCACUCCUAAAUCCUUCAUCUCAAAACAGCAAGAUAGGAAAUCCUUGACCUCCUUAAGAACAUUCAGAUCUGUUCCGAAAAUCAGUAUGUCAUCAACAUACAAGCAAAGCAUAACUCCCUUGCCCCCACCAUGGCGAUAGUACACACAUUUGUCAGCUUCGUUCACAACAAAGCCUGCAGCUAUUAAAGUUCUUUCGAACUUCUCAUGCCACUGUUUGGGUGCUUGCUUGAGUCCAUACAAAGACUUCAGCAACUUGCACACUUUCCCUUCCUGGCCAUCUAUUACAAACCCCUCUGGUUGUUCCAUAUAAAUUUCCUCAUCCAAAUCUCCAUUUAGGAAAGCAGUCUUAACAUCCAUUUGAUGAACGAGAAGACCAUGUGAGGCAGCUAGUGAAAGUAGACCUCGAAUAGUGGUCAGUCGAGCCACAGGUGAGUAAGUAUCAAAGAAGUCUUCACCUUCCUUUUGGUUAUAACCCUUUGCCACGAGCCGAGCCUUGUACUUUUCAUUAGUACCAUCAGGCCUAAGUUUCUUCUUGAAUACCCAUUUGCAUCCUAUAGGUUUGCACCCAUAAGGACGAUCAGUUAUCUCCCAAGUUUCAUUCGCCAAGAUGGAAUCCAUCUCGCUACGAAUCGCUUCCUUCCAGUAGUCAGCAUCUUCCGAUGCAUAGGCAUCCGAAAUAGAACUGGGAGUGUCAUCUAUGAGAUACACAAGAAAAUCAUCACCAAAGGACUUUGCUGUCCUCUGUCUCUUGCUCCUAGUAGGAACUUCAUUGUUCUCCUCCGCAGGACUUUCAAAGUGUUCCAUCGAAAUGGCAGGUUCAGUAAUUGUAACUGGUUCCUGAUUCGAUGAACUAGGCAUCUCCUAAUUAGAUGAGGUAGCCAUAUCCUUCAUGGGAAUGAUAUCUUCAAAGAAAGUCGCAUCAUUCGACUCCAUGAUCGUACCGACAUGCAUGUCAGAUACCUCAGAUUUUACAACCAAGAAUCUAUAGCCAAUGCUGUGAAAAGCAUAUCCCAGGAAAACACAAUCCACAGUCUUUGGUCCAAGCUUCCGCUUCUUUGGAAUUGGAACAUUGACUUUCGCCAAGCAACCGCAUGUUCGCAGAUAAGAGAGUUUUAACCUUUUCUUCUCCCAUUCCUCGAAUGGAGUUAUCUCUUUGUUCUUUGUGGGGACUCGAUUUAGGACAUGACAUGCUGUCAAUAUCGCCUCCCCCCACCAUGCCUUGGAGAGACCCGAUGUGGCGUUAACCAAAUCAGUUAGAGUACGGUUCUUUCUUUCGGCCACCCCAUUUGACUGAGGUGAGUAGGGAGGCGUCCCCUCAUGGAUUAUACCAUGUUCUGCACAAAAAGCAUCAAAUUCAUUGGAAAAAUACUCUCCACCACGGUCAGACCUAAGCCUCUUGAUUUUUCGAUCAAGUUGGUUUUCCACUUCAGCUUUAUAGAUCUUGAAAAAGUUCAAAGCCUCAUCCUUACAUUUCAGAAGAUACACAUGGCAGUAUCUAGUGGAGUCAUUAAUUAACGUCAUGCAAUAUUUCUUUCCACCUUUUGUCAAAACACCAUUCAUUUCACAUAGAUCUGAAUGUAUAAGUUCUAGUGGUGCAAGAUUUCUCGUCUCCGUAGUCACGUGAGACUUACGAGGUUGCUUAGCUUGCACACACACUUGACACUUAGAUCCUUGACAGUGGUGAAACUAGGGAUUAAGUUCAACUUCGCUAGUCGCGACAUGCAACCAAAGUUAACAUGACAAAGACGUGAAUGCCACACAUUUGAUUCACUAUUGUUGCAAAUAUGAUUAACAACUUUAUUGCAAACGUCUGAUAAGGAUAAACGAAACAGGCCUCCUGACUCAUAGCCUUUACCAACAAAGGUCCCAUACUUGGAUAUUACAAAUUUAUUCGACUCAAAGACAAGCUUAUAGCCAUCUCUACACAGAAGAGAUCCGCUAACAAGAUUUUUAUUGACGGAGGGGACAUAAUGCACGUUCUUCAGCCGCACGAUCUUCCCUGAAGUAAACUUCAGAUCAACCAUGCCAACACCACGAACAGAAGCACUUGAACUGUUGCCCAUCAGCACGGUUGAAGUCCCUGCGGUCUGAUAAGAUGAAAACAUGGAAAUAUCACCGCAUACAUGCACAUUAGCACCCAUGUCAAUCAACCAACCAGGAGAAUGACAUACUGAAAGAAUAGUGGGAAAUAUACCAUACCCAGCAUCUUUCAUGUCAAUGUCUCCGAUGACAACAUUAGCGGUCUUGCCGCCUUUCCCAGGAUGACGCUUGUCAUAGCGAUUAGGACAACUAGGAGCCCAAUGAUCAGGAUCUCCAAACACAUGACAAGCACCUUUCUUAUUGUCAUUCUUCUUCUUGAAGUUCAUGUGCUGCACAGCCUUGUUCUUCCCAUCGAACUUUGCUUUACCAUCAAACUUGCCCUUGUUCUUGAACUUGUGGGACUGGAAGUUCUUCUUCUGUACCAGAUUGGCACUAGAUCCUCCCUCAAUACCUCGAGCACGUGUGUCCUUUGCUCUCGCCUUUUCUUCCACAUAAGAGUACCAAUGAGAUCCGGGAUGGAAAACUCCUGUCUCUUAUGCUUCAGUAAGGUAGCAAAGUUCCUCCAUGAAGGAGGAAGCUUAGUGAUGAUACCCCCGGCAACAAACUUGUCCGGUAAGAUACAAUUGAAGUGCUCAAGUUCUCUAGCAAAAGACUGUAUCUCAUGAGCCUGCUCAACCACGGAGCGCUCUUCAGUCAUCCUGUAAUCAUAGAAUUAUUCCAUGAUGUACAGCUCAGUGCCGGCAUCCGAGACCCCAAACUUGGCCUCGAGUGUGUCCCACAUAUCUUUUCAUUGUCAAUUGAAGCAUAAGCAUCAACUAUGUUCUCACCAAGAACACUCAAAAGAGCAGCCUUAAACAAGGUAUCCAUUUUCUGGAAAGCUUGUGCCUGUUGGGCAUCUUGCUCUCCUUCAGGUUUGCCAAGAGUGGCAUCAUAGAAACUCAUGGUUUGAAACCAUAAGACUGCUCUCACACGCCACUUCUUAUAGUGGAUACCCUCAAACAUAGGAGGUCUCAUGGAAGCAGCAAAAUCACUCGGGGUAAAUUGCCUAUAAUAAGGUUUUUGGAUUGUUGGAAAUAUGAGCAAUUUACCGAAUGAUUUUAUUAACAAAAAUACUAGAUAAAGCAUGACUAAAAUAGCAAAUAUAAAGCAAGUCAUGUAGUCUGACAGAGAGAAGGUAAACAUCGUCUGCAUAUAUGAACUUGAGCUAAACACAGCUAGAACAGACACUAGAUGAAGUUGCUUAUACGAAACAGAACCUAACAUACGUAGGGCAGAAACUAGAGCCAAGAACUAUAGCAGGACUUCUAACAGAAAGGAGAAGAACACGUACGGCACAGCAGCAGCAGAAGCGCUGGACUUGGGGUUGGUGUCCUCGCCUGCCAUGUCAUCGAGGAGGUCAUGGACGUCAGGGAAGAAGUCGUCGUCGGGGAAGUAGUCGUCGGCGACCGGAUCGUCUGUGAUGAAGCAGCCAGUAGUCGCACUAAGCGCUCCCCAAAAACCUUAUCACCCUUCUCCCGUACAGGACUCAAAAGGGGCGGUCGCGAAAGCCUACUGUCCCGACGUGCGGUGCACGCCACAAGUCGGGAUGAGGAAGACAGCAGCAGCUCAGAGAUGGAACCGAUGGCGAGGGAAGGAGCAGUUCUGGUGCGUCUCUCUGAGAGGAGCGACCUCCCUUUUAUAGGCGCAAGAGAAGGAGGCGAGAGGCUGCGCCGGGAGCUGAAGGGAAUGCGGGAGACGAAACGAACAGGCAGCAGCCGAAGGGGCGCGCCGUUCGGAUUCAGUGUCCAGGCACAGAAAAAAAAUGUUUCAGCUUCCGAGUGACCUUUCGUAUACCCGUAGUGCGUGGCAAAAAUUUAGACAUCGGCUCGGCUCAUUCCCGCAACCCGCGGCGCGGCGCAUCGUGAUGAGGCGUGGUGAGGCGGGCGGCGGAGGAGGAGCACGCGUGGAUGUCCCUCUUGUUCUCAUGCUCAUACAAGUGGGGAAGGAGCCUCCCUUAUAAAGAGGUCCAACUCCCUCUAAACUAGCAAGGUGGGACUAAACUUUAGUUCCACCUCUUGCCUUGCACGAAUGGGCUGCGUGGGCCUCUAGGAUUUAUUAGGAAUUUCUAAAAUUGCUAUUGGGCUAGGCCCAAAUAGACAAAAAUUCCAGCAAUCCCCCACCAGAUCCCAGAGGCACACAAAAUUUGCCUUUGGUUCCAAAACACUGUUUUAUAUACUGGUACAGCAGUGGAGACUGUUAAGUUGAACUUCCACCUAGAACCCUAUGCUACACUAGUAAGCAACUUGAACAGUGGACUGGGCCUUGAACUGCAAGUUUUCUGCAAAUCUAGCUUCACAUAAGGCCUUGACCGAUACGUGGCUACCGUGGGUCUUCCCCGUGGGUGGAGCUUAUGCGUCAUACUCCGUGACCUUUCAUUAGUUUACUAGAGAGAACCCUACUCUCAUAGAUUGCGACGUUUAACAAUCAGACUCAUAUAGGUGCGUUCUUCAAAAGAUGUUCUGCAGGACAACAUCUCUGCUUCAAAAAGCCACUUAGAACACAUUAAGAUAUAAAUCAACCUGCCAUGCAGAUUAGGAGAGUAUUGCAUCUUCAUGGAGUGGUAUUUUAACAGUAUGGAUACUCUCCUCUCAGUUGACCAACAACUUGUCUUCCACAUCUAAUUCACGGGAUCUCCGAUCAUAAAGAAUAGGUUACCACUAUGAACAACUCAUAUUGUGGGUCUCAUUCCCAUCUCCCUCGAUGCAUUAUCUAUCACAUUACGUGAUAGACCCUUAGUAAAAGGAUCUGCCAGAUUUUUAGACGUUUGGAUAUAAUCCAAUGCAAUAACUCUGGAGUUUUUCAUUUUUCUGACAGACUUUAACCUUCUCUGAACGUGUCUUGAUGACUUCAUGUUAUCCUUUGAGUUGCUCACUUUAGUGAUCACAGUUUGAUUGUCACAGUUCAUCCGGAUACCCGGUACAGGUUUCUCAACUACCGGUAAGUCAUUCAAGAGCCGACGAAGCCAAUCUGCUUCGACCGUACCUGUAUCUAGUGUUGUGAGUUCUGCUUCCAUUGUUGACCUCAUUAAGAUGGUCUGCUUGCAAGACUUCCAAGAAACAGCGCCACCUCCAUGAGUGAAUACAUAACCGCUCGUGGCCUUUAUCUCAUCAGCAUCUGAGAUCCAGUUUGAGUCACUAUACCCUUCAAGCACCUUUGGAUGCCAAGUGUAGUGAAUUCCAUAAUUUGCAGUGCCUUUUAAAUAACGCAAAACUCUCUCUAGAGCUUUCCAAUGCACAUCUCCUGGUUUUGAGACAAACCGGCUUAGUUAGCUAAUAGCAAAAGAGAUGUCAGGUCUCGUAGCACUGGCUAAGUACAUAAGCGAGCCAAUAAUCUGUGAAUAUUUCAAUUGGUCUCUAGUGAUUCUUCGAUUCUUUCGAAGCAACACACUAGCAUCAUAUGGUCUUGGAGAGGGCUUGCAGUCACUGUAGCCAAAGCGGCUCAAGAUCUUUUCCACAUAGUGAGAUUGAAGCAAUGUAAUCCCACCAUCAUCAUCUCUCAACAACUUGAUGUUCAGAAUGACAUCAGCCACUCCUAAAUCCUUCAUCUCAAAACAGCAAGAUAGGAAAUCCUUGACCUCCUUAAGAACAUUCAGAUUUGUUCCGAAAAUCAGUAUGUCAUCAACAUACAAGCAAAGCAUAACUCCCUUGCCCCCACCAUGGCGAUAGUACACACAUUUGUCAGCUUCGUUCACAACAAAGCCUGCAGCUAUUAAAGUUCUUUCGAACUUCUCAUGCCACUGUUUGGGUGCUUGCUUGAGUCCAUACAAAGACUUCAGCAACUUGCACACUUUCCCUUCCUGGCCAUCUAUUACAAACCCCUCUGGUUGUUCCAUAUAAAUUUCCUCAUCCAAAUCUCCAUUUAGGAAAGCAGUCUUAACAUCCAUUUGAUGAACGAGAAGACCAUGUGAGGCAGCUAGUGAAAGUAGACCUCGAAUAGUGGUCAGUCGAGCCACAGGUGAGUAAGUAUCAAAGAAAUCUUCACCUUCCUUUUGGUUAUAACCCUUUGCCACGAGCCGAGCCUUGUACUUUUCAUUAGUACCAUCAGGCCUAAGUUUCUUCUUGAAUACCCAUUUGCAUCCUAUAGGUUUGCACCCAUAAGGACGAUCAGUUAUCUCCCAAGUUUCAUUCGCCAAGAUGGAAUCCAUCUCGCUACGAAUCGCUUCCUUCCAGUAGUCAGCAUCUUCCGAUGCAUAGGCAUCCGAAAUAGAACUGGGAGUGUCAUCUAUGAGAUACACAAGAAAAUCAUCACCAAAGGACUUUGCUGUCCUCUGUCUCUUGCUCCUAGUAGGAACUUCAUUGUUCUCCUCCGCAGGACUUUCAAAGUGUUCCAUCGAAAUGGCAGGUUCAGUAAUUGUAACUGGUUCCUGAUUCGAUGAACUAGGCAUCUCCUAAUUAGAUGAGGUAGCCAUAUCCUUCAUGGGAAUGAUAUCUUCAAAGAAAGUCGCAUCAUUCGACUCCAUGAUCGUACCGACAUGCAUGUCAGAUACCUCAGAUUUUACAACCAAGAAUCUAUAGCCAAUGCUGUGAAAAGCAUAUCCCAGGAAAACACAAUCCACAGUCUUUGGUCCAAGCUUCCGCUUCUUUGGAAUUGGAACAUUGACUUUCGCCAAGCAACCCCAUGUUCGCAGAUAAGAGAGUUUUAACCUUUUCUUCUCCCAUUCCUCGAAUGGAGUUAUCUCUUUGUUCUUUGUGGGGACUCGAUUUAGGACAUGACAUGCUGUCAAUAUCGCCUCCCCCCACCAUGCCUUGGAGAGACCCGAUGUGGCGUUAACCAAAUCAGUUAGAGUACGGUUCUUUCUUUCGGCCACCCCAUUUGACUGAGGUGAGUAGGGAGGCGUCCUCUCAUGGAUUAUACCAUGUUCUGCACAAAAAGCAUCAAAUUCAUUGGAAAAAUACUCUCCACCACAGUCAGACCUAAGCCUCUUGAUUUUUCGAUCAAGUUGGUUUUCCACUUCAGCUUUAUAGAUCUUGAAAAAGUUCAAAGCCUCAUCCUUACAUUUCAGAAGAUACACAUGGCAGUAUCUAGUGGAGUCAUUAAUUAACGUCAUGCAAUAUUUCUUUCCACCUUUUGUCAAAACACCAUUCAUUUCACAUAGAUCUGAAUGUAUAAGUUCUAGUGGUGCAAGAUUUCUCGUCUCCGCAGUCACGUGAGACUUACGAGGUUGCUUAGCUUGCACACACACUUGACACUUAGAUCCUUGACAGUGGUGAAACCAGGGAUUAAGUUCAACUUCGCUAGUCGCGACAUGCAACCAAAGUUAACAUGACAAAGACGUGAAUGCCACACAUUUGAUUCACUAUUGUUGCAAAUAUGAUUAACAACUUUAUUGCAAACGUCUGAUAAGGAUAAACGAAACAGGCCUCCUGACUCAUAGCCUUUACCAACAAAGGUCCCAUACUUGGAUAUUACAAAUUUAUUCGACUCAAAGACAAGCUUAUAGCCAUCUCUACACAGAAGAGAUCCGCUAACAAGAUUUUUAUUGACGGAGGGGACAUAAUGCAUGUUCUUCAGCCGCACGAUCUUCCCUGAAGUAAACUUCAGAUCAACCAUGCCAACACCACGAACAGAAGCACUUGAACUGUUGCCCAUCAGCACGGUUGAAGUCCCUGCGGUCUGAUAAGAUGAAAACAUGGAAAUAUCACCGCAUACAUGCACAUUAGCACCCAUGUCAAUCAACCAACCAGGAGAAUGACAUACUGAAAGAAUAGUGGGAAAUAUACCAUACCCAGCAUCUUUCAUGUCAAUGUGUCCGAUGACAACAUUAGCGGUCUUGCCGCCUUUCCCAGGAUGACGCUUGUCAUAGCGAUUAGGACAACUAGGAGCCCAAUGAUCAGGAUCUCCAAACACAUGACAAGCACCUUUCUUCUUGUCAUUCUUCUUCUUGAAGUUCAUGUGCUGCACAGCCUUGUUCUUCCCAUCGAACUUUGCUUUACCAUCAAACUUGCCCUUGUUCUUGAACUUGUGGGACUGAAAGUUCUUCUUCUGUACCAGAUUGGCACUAGAUCCUCCCUCAAUACCUCGGGCACGUGUGUCCUUUGCUCUCGCCUUUUCUUCCACAUAAGAGUACCAAUGAGAUCCGGGACGGAAAACUCCUGUCUCUUAUGCUUCAGUAAGGUAGCAAAGUUCCUCCAUGAAGGAGGAAGCUUAGUGAUGAUACCCCCGGCAACAAACUUGUCCGGUAAGAUACAAUUGAAGUUCUCAAGUUCUCUAGCAAAAGACUGUAUCUCAUGAGCCUGCUCAACCAUGGAGCGCUCUUCAGUCAUCCUGUAAUCAUAGAAUUAUUCCAUGAUGUACAGCUCAGUGCCGGCAUCCGAGACCCCAAACUUGGCCUCGAGUGUGUCCCACAUAUCUUUUCAUUGUCAAUUGACGCAUAAGCAUCAACUAUGUUCUCACCAAGAACACUCAAAAGAGCAGCCUUAAACAAGGUAUCCAUUUUCUGGAAAUCUUGUGCCUGUUGGGCAUCUUGCUCUCCUUCAGGUUUGCCAAGAGUGGCGUCAUAGAAACUCAUGGUUUGAAACCAUAAGACUGCUCUCACACGCCACCUCUUAUAGUGAAUACCCUCAAACAUAGGAGGUCUCAUGGAAGCAGCAAAAUCACUCAGGGUAAAUUGCCUAUAAUAAGGUUUUUGGAUUGUUGGAAAUAUGAGCAAUUUACCGAAUGAUUUUAUUAACAAAAAUACUAGAUAAAGCAUGACUAAAAUAGCAAAUAUAAAGCAAGUCAUGCAGUCUGAGAGAUAGAAGGUAAACAUCGUCUGCAUAUAUGAACUUGAGCUAAACACAUCUAGAACAGACACUAGAUGAAGUUGCUUAUACGAAACAGAACCUAACAUACGUAGGGCAAAAUCUAGAGCCAAGAACUGUAGCAGGACUUCUAACAGAAAGGAGAAGAACACGUACGGCACAGCAGCAGCAGAAGCGCUGGACUUGGGUUGCUGUCCUCGCCUGCCAUGUCAUCGAGGAGGUCAUGGACGUCAGGGAAGAAGUCGUCGUCGGCGGGGAAGUAGUCGUCGGCGACCGGAUCGUCUGUGAUGAAGCAGCCAGUAGUCGCACUGAGCACUCCCCAAAAACCUUAUCACCCUUCUCUCGUACAAGACUCAAAAGGUGCGGUCGCGAAAGCCUACUGUCCCGACGUGCGGUGCACGCCGCAAGUCGGGAUGAGGAAGACAGCAGCAGCUCAGAGAUGGAACCGAUGGCGAGGGAAGGAGCAGUUCUGGUGCGUCUCUCUGAGAGGAGCGACCUCCCUUUUAUAGGCGCAAGAGAAGGAGGCGAGAGGCUGCGCCGAGAGCUGAAGGGAAUGCGGGAGACGAAACGAACAGGCAGCAGCCGAAGGGGCGCACCAUUCGGAUUCAGUGUCCAGGCACAGAAAAAAAAUGUUUCAGCUUUCGAGUGACCUUUCGUAUACCCGUAGUGCGUGGCAAAAAUUUAGACAUCGGCUCGGCUCAUUCCCGCAACCCGCGGCGCGGCGCAUCGUGACGAGGCGUGGUGAGGCAGGCGGCGGAGGAGGAGCGCACGUGGAUGUCCCUCUUGUUCUCAUGCUCAUACAAGUGGGGAAGGAGCCUCCCUUAUAAAGAGGUCCAACUCCCUCUAAACUAGCAAGGUGGGACUAAACUUUAGUUCCACCUCUUGCCUUGCACGAAUGGGCUGCAUGGGCCUCUAGGAUUUAUUAGGAAUUUCUAAAAUUGCUAUUGGGCUAGGCCCAAAUAGACAAAAAUUCCAGCAAUCCCCCACCAGAUCCCAGAGGCACAAAAAAUUUGCCUUUGGUUCCAAAACACUGUUUUAUAUACUGGUACAGCAGUGGAGACUGUUAAGUUGAACUUCCACCUAGAACCCUAUGCUACACUAGUAAGCAACUUGAACAGUGGACUGGGCCUUGAACUGCAAGUUUUCUGCAAAUCUAGCUUCACAUAAAGCCUUGACCGAUACGUGGCUACCGUGGGUCUUCCCCGCGGGUGGAGCUUAUGCGUCAUACUCCAUGACCUUUCAUUAGUUUACUAGAGAGAACCCUACUCUCAUAGAUUGCGACGUUUAACAAUCAGACUCAUAUAGGUGCGUUCUUCAAAAGAUGUUCUGCAGGACAACAUCUCUGCUUCAAAAAGCCACUUAGAACACAUUAAGAUAUAAAUCAACCUGCCAUGCAGAUUAGGAGAGUAUUGCAUCUUCAUGGAGUGGUAUUUUAACAGUAUGGAUACUCUCCUCUCAGUUGACUAACAGCUUGUCUUCCACAUCUAAUUCACGGGAUCUCCGAUCAUAAAGAAUAGAUUACCACUGUGAACAACUCAUAUUGUGGGUCUCAUUCCCAUCUCCCUCGAUGCAUUAUCUAUCACAUUACGUGAUAGACCCUUAGUAAAAGGAUCUGCCAGAUUUUUAGACGUUUGGAUAUGAUCCAAUGCAAUAACUCUGGAGUUUUUCAUUUUUCUGACAGACUAACCUUCUCUGAACGUGUCUUGAUGACUUCAUGUUAUCCUUUGAGUUGCUCACUUUAGUGAUCACAGUUUGAUUGUCACAGUUCAUCCGGAUACCCGAUACAGGUUUCUCAACUACCGGUAAGUCAUUCAAGAGCAGACGAAGCCAAUCCGCUUCAACCGUACAUGUAUCUAGUGUUGUGAGUUCUACUUCCAUUGUUGACCUCGUUAGAUGGUCUGCUUGCAAGACUUCCAAGAAACAGCGCCACCUCCAUGAGUGAAUACAUAACCGCUCGUGGCCUUUAUCUCAUCAACAUCUGAGAUCCAGUUUGAGUUACUAUACCCUUCAAGCACCUUUGGAUGCCCAGUGUAGUGAAUUCCAUAAUUUGCAGUGCCUUUCAAAUAACGCAAAACUCUCUCUAGAGCUUUCCAAUGCACAUCUCCUGGUUUUGAGACAAACCGGCUUAGUUAGCUAACAGCAAAAGAGAUGUCAGGUCUCAUAGCACUGGCUAAGUACAUAAGCGAGCCAAUAAUCUGUGAAUAUUUCAAUUGGUCUCUAGCGAUUCUUCGAUUCUUUCGAAGCAACACACUAGCAUCAUAUGGUGUUGGAGAGGGCUUGCAGUCACUAUAGCCAAAGCGGCUCAAGAUCUUUUCCACAUAGUGAGAUUGAAGCAAUGUAAUCCCACCAUCAUCAUCUCUCAACAACUUGAUGUUCAGAAUGAGAUCAGCCACUCCUAAAUCCUUCAUCUCAAAACAGCAAGAUAGGAAAUCCUUGACCUCCUUAAGAACAUUCAGAUUUGUUCCGAAAAUCAGUAUGUCAUCAACAUACAAGCAAAGCAUAACUCCCUCGCCCCCACCAUGGCGAUAGUACACACAUUUGUCAGCUUCGUUCACAACAAAGCCUGCAGCUAUUAAAGUUCUUUCGAACUUCUCAUGCCACUGUUUGGGUGCUUGCUUGAGUCCAUACAAAGACUUCAGCAACUUGCACACUUUCCCUUCCUGGCCAUCUAUUACAAACCCCUCUGGUUGUUCCAUAUAAAUUUCCUCAUCCAAAUCUCCAUUUAGGAAAGCAGUCUUAACAUCCAUUUGAUGAACGAGAAGACCAUGUGAGGUAGCUAGUGAAAGUAGACCUCGAAUAGUGGUCAGUCGAGCCACAGGUGAGUAAGUAUCAAAGAAGUCUUCACCUUCCUUUUGGGUAUAACCCUUUUCCAUGAGCCAAGCCUUGUACUUUUCAUUAGUACCAUCAGGCCUAAGUUUCUUCUUGAAUACCCAUUUGCAUCCUAUAGGUUUGCACCCAUAAGGACGAUCAGUUAUCUCCCAAGUUUCAUUCGCCAAGAUGGAGUCCAUCUCGCUACGAAUCGCUUCCUUCCAGUAGUCAGCAUCUUCCGAUGCAUAGGCAUCCGAAAUAGAACUGGGAGUGUCAUCUAUGAGAUACACAAGAAAAUCAUCAGCAAAGGACUUUGCUGUCCUCUGUCUCUUGCUCCUAGUAGGAACUUCAUUGUUCUCCUCCGCAGGACUUUCAAAGUGUUCCAUCGAAAUGGCAGGUUCAGUAAUUGUAACUGGUUCCUGAUUCGAUGAACUAGGCAUCUCCUAAUUAGAUGAGGUAGCCAUAUCCUUCAUGGGAAUGAUAUCUUCAAAGAAAGUCGCAUCAUUCGACUCCAUGAUCGUACCGACAUGCAUGUCAGAUACCUCAGAUUUUACAACCAAGAAUCUAUAGCCAAUGCUGUGAAAAGCAUAUCCCAGGAAAACACAAUCAACAGUCUUUGGUCCAAGCUUCCGCUUCUUUGGAAUUGGAACAUUGACUUUCGCCAAGCAACCCCAUGUUCGCAGAUAAGAGAGUUUUAACCUUUUCUUCUCCCAUUCCUCGAAUGGAGUUAUCUCUUUGUUCUUUGUGGGGACUCGAUUUAGGACAUGACAUGCUGUCAAUAUCGCCUCCCCCCACCAUGCCUUGGAGAGACCCGAUGUGGCGUUAACCAAAUCAGUUAGAGUACGGUUCUUUCUUUCGGCCACCCCAUUUGACUGAGGUGAGUAGGGAUGCGUCCUCUCAUGGAUUAUACCUUGUUCUGCACAAAAAGCAUCAAAUUCAUUGGAAAAAUACUCUCCACCACGGUCAGACCUAAGCCUCUUGAUUUUUCGAUCAAGUUGGUUUUCCACUUCAGCUUUAUAGAUCUUGAAAAAGUUCAAAUCCUCAUCCUUACAUUUCAGAAGAUACACAUGGCAGUAUCUAGUGGAGUCGUUAAUUAACGUCAUGAAAUAUUUCUUUCCACGUUUUGUCAAAACACCAUUCAUUUCACAUAGAUCUGAAUGUAUAAGUUCUAGUGGUGCAAGAUUUCUCGUCUCCGCAGUCAUGUGAGACUUACGAGGUUGCUUAGCUUGCACACACACUUGACACUUAGAUCCCUUGACAGUGGUGAAACUAGGGAUUAAGUUCAACUUCGCUAGCCGCGACAUGCAACCAAAGUUAACAUGACAAAGACGUGAAUGCCACACAUUUGAUUCACUAUUGUUGCAAAUAUGAUUAACAACUUUAUUGCAAAUGUCUGAUAAGGAUAAACGAAACAGGCUUCCUGACUCAUAGCCUUUGCCAACAAAAGUUCCAUACUGGGAUAUUACAAAUUUAUUCGACUCAAAUACAAGCUUAUAGCCAUCUCUACACAGAAGAGAUCCGCUAACAAGAUUGUUAUUGACGGAGGGGACAUAAUGCACGUUCUUCAGCCGCACGAUCUUCCCCGAAGUAAACUUCAGAUCGACCAUGCCAACACCACGAACAGAAGCACUUGAACCGUUGCCCAUCAGCACGGUUGAAGUCCCUGCGGUCUGAUCAGAUGAAAACAUGGAAAUAUCACUGCAUACAUGCACAUUAGCACCCAUGUCAAUCAACCAAUCAGGAGAAUGACAUACUGAAAGAAUAGUGGGAAAUAUACCAUACCCAGCAUCUUUCAUGUCAAUGUCUCCGAUGACAACAUUAGCGGUCUUGCCGCCUUUCCCAGGAUGACGCUUGUCAUAGAGAUUAGGACAAAUAGGAGCCCAAUGAUCAGGCUCUCCACACACAUGACAAGCACCUUUCUUCUUGUCAUUCUUCUUCUUGAAGUUCGUGUGCUGCACAGCCUUGUUCUUCCCAUCGAACUUUGCUUUACCAUCAAACUUGCCCUUGUUCUAGAACUUGUGGGACUGGAAGUUCUUCUUCUGUACUAGAUUGGCACUAGAUCCUCCCUCAAUACCUCGAGCACGUGUGUCCUUUGCUCUCGCCUUUUCUUCCACAUCAAGAGUACCAAUGAGUUCCGGGACGGAAAACUCCUGUCUCUUAUGCUUCAGUAAGGUAGCAAAGUUCCUCCACGAAGGAGGAAGCUUAGUGAUGAUACCCCCGGCAACAAACUUGUCCGGUAAGAUACAAUUGAAGUGCUCAAGUUCUCUAGCAAAGGACUGUAUCUCAUGAUCCUGCUCAACCACGGAGCGCUCUUCAGUCAUCAUGUAAUCAUAGAAUUGCUCCAUGAUGUACAAUUCAGUGCCGGCAUCCGAGACCCCAAACUUGGCCUCAAGUGCGUCCCACAUAUCUUUUCUAUUGUCAAUUGACGCAUAAGCAUCAACUAUGUUCUCACCAAGAACACUCAAAAGAGCAGCCUUAAACAAGGUAUCCAUUUUCAGAAAAGCUUGUGCCUGUUGGGCAUCUUGCUCUCCUUCAGGUUUGCCAAGAGUGGCGUCAUAGCAACUCAUGGUUUGAAACCAUAAGACUGCUCUCACGCGCCACCUCUUAUAGUGGAUACCCUCAAACAUACGAGCUCUCAUGGAAGCAGCAAAACCACUCGGGGUAAAUUGCCUAUAAUAAGGUUUUUGGAUUGUUGGAAAUAUGAGCAAUUUACCGAAUGAUUUUAUUAACAAAAAUACUAGAUAAAGCAUGACUAAAAUAGCAAAUAUAAAACAAGUCAUGCAGUCUGACAGAGAGAAGGUAAACAUCGUCUGCAUAUAUGAACUUGAGCUAAACACAUCUAGAACAUACACUAGAUGAAGUUGCUUAUACGAAACAGAACCUAACAUACGUAGGGCAGAAACUAGAGCCAAGAACUGUAGCAGGACUUCUAACAGAAAGGAGAAGAACACGUACGGCAUAGCAGCAGCAGAAGCGCUGGACUUCGGGUCGGUGUCCUCGCCUGCCAUGUCGUCGAGGAGGUCGUGGACGUCGGGGAAGAAGUCGUCGUCGGGGAAGUAGUCGUCGGCGACCGGAUCGUCCGUGAUGAAGCAGCCAGUAGUCGCGCUGAGCGCUCCCCAAAAACCUUAUCACCCUUCUCCCGUACAGGACUCAAAAGGUGCGGUCUCGGAGGCCUACUAUCCCGACGUGCGGUGCACGCCGCAAGUCGGGAUGAGGAAGACAGCAGCAGCUCAGAGAUGGAACCGAUGGCGAGGGAAGGAGCAGUUCUGGUGCGUCUCUCUGAGAGGAGCGACCUCCCUUUUAUAGGCGCAAGAGAAGGAGGCGAGAGGCUGCGCCGGGAGCUGAAGGGAAUGCGGGAGACGAAACGAACAUGCAGCAGCCGAAGGGGCGCGCCUUCGGAUUCAGUGUCCAGGCACAGAAAAAAAUGUUUCAGCUUCCGAGUGACCUUUCGUAUACCCGUAGUGCGUGGCAAAAAUUUAGACAUCGGCUCGGCUCAUUCCCGCAACCCGCGGCGCGGCAUGACGAGGCGUGGUGAGGCGGGCGGCGGAGGAGGAGCGCGCGUGGAUGUCCCUCUUGUUCUCAUGCUCAUACAAGUGGAGAAGGAGCCUCCCUUAUAAAGAGGUCCAACUCCCUCUAAACUAGCAAGGUGGGACUAAACUUUAGUUCCACCUCUUGCCUUGCACGAAUGGGCUGCGUGGUCCUCUAGGAUUUAUUAGGAAUUUCUGAAACUGCUAUUGUGCUAGGCCCAAAUAGACAAAAAUUCCAGCAGUUUGUGUUCUUCAGGUCUCCACUUGCCAUGAUAUUGCGGCUGGGCUUCGGGUAUGUGUUACCACUGAUACAUCAUUCCAAACUACUAAUGAAUUGGUCUCUGAUGUCUUCUUCUCAAUUUUAACUAGGGCCUGCUUCUGUUUGCACCAAUUCGAGAUAGUGGUUGUGGAAUGCAGCAGCCAAGACAACAAGGUCAGGCUCGGCUUAGGUAUGAUGACAAACAAAAUUAGAUUCGGAUGGUUCCUUACAUCUUCCUCUCAGAAUCAAGAGUGAUAAUACUUUUUUGGUGCUCCGGCUUCUGCAGUUUCUGAAGAACUGAUUCGUUGUUCAGGCAUUUCAUGCAUUUGGAGUUCACAGGUAUCUAAGUUUCUCUGACUGUGUUUUCAAAUAAUUGAUACUUGACAUUAGGAUUUUUGGCUGAACAAAUCAUCUUAGACAUAAGUAGAACCCGGCAAAUUGUGAGACAGAGCUAAUUGAUACACAGUUUAGAAAAUAGAACUGAACAAUUCUUGGUAGUCACUAUUGAUUAGCUAUGUGCGUACCUUAAGUUCCUUACUACUUAUUUUAAUUGUUAGUACUUGAAGGUUUGAAUAAUUAUUAUUACCAAGUUACAUGUUGAUCACUACUUAUUAUGAAAAUGUAUGUCCAUGGUUUAAAGGAGCUUUAUUGUUUCAGUCUAUACUAAGUUAUUUGUCGGUUAUACUGGAGCUUAUAUUGUUCCCUCUUUGAUCUAGACAUCAAAUAUUCUAAGCUUCAUUUUUGUGAGCAAACGGUUCUAUGCUUCCUUUUUGUGAACAUUGCUCCAUAAAUAGUAGUGGCAUUUACUAUGCAGAUGAUACUGACAAAUUAUCAUACAAGUCCGCAUUAAUAUUCAGUCAGUAGGUUAUUGAAGAAGGCCGGAGAUCGCGUGGAGCACCAACAAUAACCUCAAGUAGAUGCAGCAGAGACAUGUGAUGAACUAUCAUAUGUUUCCUAAUCUGAAUGUUUGCUCCAAUCGCUUGAUUGUUUGAUCUGGUUUGUUGUGACAAUACAAUGAUUUUCUAUGUUCUUUUUGUGGUGCAAUCUCCGUUGAUUUGGAAAGAUGGGGACUUUCUGUUGAGCUAUUUCGAUCGGCCAUUGGCCAUAACAUUCCAAAUUCCUUAUUUUGUUUCCUCUUUUUCGCGGCUUCAUUUUACGUGUCUCACUAAAGGUGGGCAUGACUUGAAAAGGGAGGCAAACAAAACUGCCAAGAUGCAUCUCUUUUGCAGCAGAAGAAGAGGCACUGAUGAGAGGUGGAAAAGGAGGGGCAAAGAAGGAAGCCAUGGGCAUGUGCCGCCUACCGACCAUGAAUAUCAACAAUGACAAUGACGACUAGCUUGUGUGCGUGUGAGAGAGGGAGGGAGAGGGAGUCAAAACAAAAUGAUGUAUAUCUUUACUACAUUAUAAAAUGGGAUUUGGUGAGCUAUUUGUCCUUUAUGAUUCAUGAGAUUUUAAUUCUAUAGUGUUUUUUGCUCUUAAUAUAUUAUUGUGGUUAUAGAUUUAUCAUUGACACAAUAUAUGUAGAAACUUUUUUGAUCUAAAUAAGAAGAACAAAAGUUUACGGGAUGCUUUUUGAUCGUUCCCUUUACCUAGCUUCCAAUUUCUAUUGUCAGAAACACAUUUUUUUUGUUCCUAUAGGAAACAUAUGCAAAUAAAAGAUUUGCCGAAGCUUUUUGAGUCCCUGAUGCAUACUAAAUACAGUCCUAGAACAAUAUGCUUAUGCAUAAUAACAAGCUGGAAAAUUGCUCCAAAAUAACACUUAAAACAUAUAAAAGAACAAAAAAAUCCAUUCUGAAUUCUAAAAUGAUCUUUCAAUGUAUGCAGCAAACUGCUUCCUUUAUAAUCUGACAAAACUCGCAGGACUUAUCAUGACGCAUGAAAGGAUAUAGUAAACCAUCACACCGAAGCCGAGGUUGGCUUUGUUUCCUUAUUUUUGCGAGAAGGUGUCAUAGUUCUACUAUUUUGAUUAGCCAUCUAGAGGGAUGACAGUGCAUGCAAUCAUUUAAAUAAAAUAAUACAAAGAUGCUGCAUGAGUCAUCAAUUCAAACAAGAACUUGUUUCAUGUGAUUUUUUGUGUAAAGUGGAAACAAAUUAUUUUUAUAACAACUAAUUCGACAACACAAGUGCUACACCGUGAUCAGUAUAUGCAUAUGAUACGAUCUAGCUAUUUUCCUUUGCACGGGUGGUUUUUAUCAUGAGGUAGGAGGGUUCGUACAAGUCGACUAUCAGCUCUCAUGCAAUGCUUUAAAAAGAAAAACGAGAGGAAUUUGUGAAUUUUUGUAUAACAUUGCAAAUUAUAUGAAAAAACUUUUUAAUUUGUCAGAACUUUUAGGAGGGAGUGAGUGGCAAAUGUUGGAAGACAUUCAAAGUUAGGAUGAUGGGAAUGCCUAUGGCAAUUUGGAGAACUUGGAGAAAACAUAUGCGAACUUGAGCUAGGUAGCAAUGUAGAGCUUAAUUAAGCUAAAUGGUUCAUAUUCAUUUGUUAGUCCAUGAGUUCGAGAUGAUGGACUCAACAAUUGGAUAGAUUUGGAGGGAACACGAAUUUGGAGUAGUGUGACAACAUAGCGAAGUAAUGACACAAUGGUCGAAGGGCUGAAGUUGAGGGGCUUGUGAUAGAUCCAUUUGUUGGCCCGUGGCUGCGCACGGGCGUUCUACUAGUAAUCAUUGGUGGCUUCUUUGACCACCAGACGGCUUAUUGACUUCUUCCACUCGAGGAUCACCGUGGAGCAAUCCUUCUUCCCCUUCCUACAGAAGCACGCCAACCACAAACAAAUGCUCAAAAAGACCUUAGCAAAUGCCAUUGAACUAGAUUGUAGGCAAGAGGAAUCUUAUUAGUUGGUAGAUGUAGAUGUCGAGGCCUCAUCAUUGCUUGCCAGAGGCCUCAUGUGUAUGUCGUGCGUCCCACCAGAGGCCUCUUUUAAUUAGAGGAAGGGCGGUGCGGAGAAGACAUCAUUAGUCACCCUGGGAGAAGAAAGUUCGGUGGCGGUGCGUGUAAAGAGGAGACUUUGGUAGUUUCUGGUGGAGUUGUGGUAGCCGUAGGGACGACGAGAGUGAGAGAGGACUGGGGACGGAGGAGAGGUGAUGGAUGGAAAAAAAUUGGGUGAUUGAGGACGAAAACCAAGAUGAAAANNNNNNNNNNNNNNNNNNNNNNNNNNNNNNNNNNNNNNNNNNNNNNNNNNNNNNNNNNNNNNNNNNNNNNNNNNNNNNNNNNNNNNNNNNNNNNNNNNNNNNNNNNNNNNNNNNNNNNNNNNNNNNNNNNNNNNNNNNNNNNNNNNNNNNNNNNNNNNNNNNNNNNNNNNNNNNNNNNNNNNNNNNNNNNNNNNNNNNNNNNNNNNNNNNNNNNNNNNACUAGAUGUCUCUGUAGUGAAGUAAUAUGAGCAUAACUUAAUUGAUCAGUGUAAAACUUUGAAUUGGUUAAGUAUACUACACUAAAGUAAGUUGUAAAGCCUAAUUGCAAUUAUAUCUUUGAGGGCAAUGCUUAUGAGUUGCGUGACAAUCUUGUCUGUUCUGGAUCUUGCAUCUGAUUCUAAUUAAACAGUACAUGUUAGAUGUUUUUAAUGAGGUCCACGUUAGAUUUGAUUGUUAAUUUAUAGUGCGGGUGAAAGCGGAUUCUAUCCUUUUCGUCUGCCAUUUUUCCUUUCAUAAAAUGUGUCCAUGGAGUAAUUCUCCACAAAAACAAACUUAACUGGACAAAAUAUCCACGGCAAGUCGCAUAUCUUGUGCAACUGUUCACUGUUGAAAGCUUAUUGUGCCACUACCCAUCAUUGCAAGGAAAAAAUACAGAAGAUUUAUGUUCUACCAAAUACAUUCUUUUGUUCAGAUUUAGCCAGGUAUGAUCCUGGUUGCGUCAGCCAUUAGAGUACAUUGCGAUCGACUAGACAGUUUCAGUGCUCAUCUUGCCUACUUUUGCAGCACUAGAUUUGCGAUCAGGUAGAUAAACACAACAACAAAGGAGACGACAGAUGCCAGCGGCCCAUAUUUCCCAAGAAUUCUCUGUGGGUUAAUUCCAUAAUACGGAUUGAAUUCUCUACUGGCACGGAAUCCAGCAACAAGGGCCACACCAUGCUGACACUAGCAGCUAUGUGUUGCUCCCGUGGGCAAGACCUGCCCAAGGAGGAUAGGUAAGAGAAAUGGCUGAAGACACACCAACACCUGGCAACAUGUAGGUUCAUAUUUCACCCCCACCCUUGGAUAAAACCGUGAAUCAUUUGAAACAUAUUAAAACUUGAGUGCAUUUUUUAUUUUGGAGAAAUAUAUAUGCUCACAAGAGCUUAGGAGUCACACGUCGGUUCUAGGUAAUUAAACAAACAAGAACAUUCACUUGUUGAGAAAUUUUACCACCUCUUCUUGCUUCUUUUAUGACACUAGAACUUGACGGGCUUUGGGUCACCUCCUUUUCGGUUUAUAAGGCUUGCGCGUAUCUCUAGGUUGACAAAUAGACCAACUUAAUACAAGUUGUAUAUCACAAAAAAUAUAUAAUUAGGAACUUCAAAUCGUAUACUUUCUAAUGGUAUAAUUUUUAGACUAUACAACUCAUGUUAUGUUGGUCAAGUUAUAGAUCCAGGGAUAUGUACAAGCCUUAUAAACCGGAAAGGAGGUAUGUUAGUAGAUAAACAUGCCAAUUAAGGACUUCUUGACAAGUCUAUGCAGAUUAAAGGUAUGUUAGUAGAUGGUGUAAUAAAUACAUGCUUUUAGCUAUCUAAGGAUACAAAUAUGCCACUAUUUACUUUGUAAAUGCUCGAAAUCAUUCUCAGAAAUUUUAGUAACAACAGUUGUCAUGAACAACUUGGACUAAAUGCAUCAAAUGUUACAAAUAAUACAUAAAAACAUUCAAAUGUACUUAGAGUGAAUCAAUUAAGACGUGUAAAGCUAGUACUAAUCCAAUAUUUCUUAAUGACUUGCAUAUACUUACAACACUUGACGUAAAGAGUGAAUCAAUUAAGACGUGCAAAGCCAGUACUAAUCCAAUUUUAUUAAUAGCUUCCACAAAAUUACAACACGUGGCGUAAAAAGGGAAUAUGAUGAGUCAUGUAUUGAUAACGUGUACAACAUUACUACCCUUGACAUAAAAAGAGAAGUUGAUGAGUCAUGUCUUAAUAACGUGUACAACAUUACUAUCAGCUUGUUCAUCUUACCAUCAUACUAUACAACACUAUAAGUUAGUUUAAAAAAGAAUAAGAGUCCAGAACAAACAUCACAAUACUAGCCUGAUCUAUAUUAACAACAUGCACAAGGACACAAAUUUAGUUCCCCGCAAGCUAUGAAGAUUUGGUUUAUGUCUAACAACUUGUACAAUAUGACAAACUUAGAUCCAAAAGGAAUGCAAACCAGAUAAUUGUAAUGCAAUCCAGAUAAUUAUUUGACAUGCAAAGUGAAUAAGAUGAGUCACUACCAAUUAUCAAGUUUUCCUCACUCUUAGAUGAUAUGAACCAUAAAAAGGCAACUUUGAUGAUCACUCCAUAAUUACGUUUGUAUGUAGUGCCACCAAACACAACACACAAAAUAAUUAGUUCGAUAAGCAUCGAAUCACUUUAAAAAGGAAAGCAAAAAUGGAAAGAAACCUAACCAUGGGAGCUAUAAAAAGGCCUGCAAUAUGUAGACUCCAUACCAUCAUCCAUCCUUCACACAACUAGAGCACAAGUAUCAAAUCCAAGUACGUAGUGGUUAACGCAAAUUAACCAUGAAGACCUUACUCAUCCUAACAAUCCUUGUGAUGGCAGUAACCAUCGGCACCGCCAAUAUGCAGGUCGACCCUAGCGGCCAAGUACAAUGGCCACAACAACAACCAGUCCUGCUGCCUCAGCAACCAUUCUCCCAGCAACCACAACAAACAUUUCCCCAACCCCAACAAACAUUCCCCCAUCAACCACAACAACAAUUUCCCCAGCCUCAACAACCACAACAACAAUUUCUCCAGCCACAACAACCAUUCCCCCAACAACCACAACAACCAUAUCCCCAGCAACCACAACAACCAUUCCCCCAGACUCAACAACCCCAACAACUAUUUCCCCAGUCCCAGCAACCACAACAACCAUAUCCCCAGCAACCACAACAACCAUUCCCCCAGACUCAACAACCCCAACAACAAUUUCCCCAAUCCCAGCAACCACAAUAACCAUUUCCCCAACCCCAACAACCGCAACAAUCAUUCCCCCAGCAACAACCAUCGUUCAUUCAGCCAUCUCUACAACAACAGCUGAACCCAUGCAAGAAUUUACUCUUGCAGCAAUGCAGACCUGUGUCAUUGGUCUCAUCCCUCUGGUCAAUGAUCUGGCCACAAAGCGCUUGCCAAGUGAUGAGGCAACAAUGCUGCCAACAACUAGCACAGAUUCCUCAGCAGCUCCAGUGUGCAGCCAUCCAUAGCGUCGUGCAUUCCAUCAGCAUGUAGCAAGAACAACAACAACAACAACAACAACAACAACAACAACAACAACAACAACAACAACAACAACAACAACAACAACAACAACAACAACAACAACAACAAGGCAUGCGUAUCCUGCUGCCACUAUAUCAGCAACAACAGGUGGGUCAAGGUACUCUCGUCCAGGGCCAGGGCAUCAUCCAACCCCAACAACCAGCUCAAUUGGAGGCGAUCAGGUCAUUGGUGUUGCAAACUCUUCCAACCAUGUGCAACGUGUAUGUCCCACCUGAGUGCUCUAUCAUCAAGGCACCAUUUGCCAGCAUAGUCACCGGAAUUGGUGGCCAAUGAAAAACGCAAGAGCCAUACUAAUAGGUAGAUGGAUCAUCGUUGCUUAGCUGAUUUACCAAUCGAUGUAACGAUGCCAAAUAAACUGGUGUGCACCAUCAUGUGUCAUCCUGACCAGUGCUAGUUCAAGAUUGGGAAUAAAAGAGAAGAACGUUCAUGUUUGCCA
rnacentral:lncRNA from 1 species